rnacentral:lncRNA from 1 species
CUCCUCGAGGUGGGCACUAGCACCAAUCUAAGCUAAAGGUAGUGGUUUGACCCGGUCCCAUGCCUAAAAGACAGUAAUAUUUUUAUAAGCAUACACAAUUAUUAAUAUCUGUAUGGUGGUGGAGUCUCCUUUUACUUUGAUCAGGUUUUGUAUUCUAUGAGAAGUAUCUCUCAUCCUUCUCUCUUUCUUUUAUCAAUAAAAUUGAUCUUUGUUUCUAAUAAAAUAUAUAUAUAUAUAUAUCUUUAUAAGCAUAGAUCUUGGCACAAAUCAACAUAUUUCACAUUAAAAGCAACAUAAAUCAACAUAUUUCACACUAAAGCAACACCCAUGACACAUUAAAGAGUGAGAACAAUAGGUACCAGAGACUAUGAGUUGCAUGCACCACAAUGAAGAAGGAUAUGAUUGGUUCAUUCCUCCUAACUCUUGCACAAGCAACACCAGUUAGCUAUAGCCCACCUCUCCUCCUUAGCUGGUCUAAUGCCAUAAUUUUUCCCCAAACCACCUCCCAAGUAAAGAAACCCACCUUAUGAGGAUCCUGAGAAACUCAAACUUCUUUGAUUAGAAAAGGAUCUUUAGUAACUAACUCCAAAGAACUGUAGCAGGGUUUUCCAAAGAACUUCCAAUCCUUAUUCAAUUUCCAAACCAACUUGUCCUGGCACUCUUUUUGAACAAACAUGUCUUAAAUUUACUUAAGGAAAGUUUCAACCAUUUCUAUCACCCAAUCUUGAACAUUUCUGAGAAAACAAGGGCUCUAAUGUCCAACACCUCCCACCUCCUCCCAAAGUCCUGUUAGCCAAGCAUCCAUAGAACUGGCAAUGAACUACAAAGCAGGAUACAAGGCUCUCAAAGAAAAAAAAGAGGGGGGGAAAAUCACCACAACACAGGUCAUGUCAAAACCUAACUCUCCAAUGGUCCUACCAUUGCAUACUUCAAAACUAUUCCUAGCCUGAAACUUUGCCUGCCUCUCCUUCCAUAGCCCCACCCCAUACCCUUUCCUCUCUUCACAAGAACACCACCCACCCAUCCUUUCAUCAAACUUAUGUGAGAUCACUCAUCUCCACAAGCUAUCCCACUCCAGAGAAAACAUCCAACAGCAUUUUCCAAGGACCUUGUCAAGUAGCGACAAAUCAGUCAACCAAUUAACUAAAUGAAGUUUUUCAUCCAAAGAGCAAACCCUCUAAAGGAAGUCCUCUGAGCCUUUUCCAAUCUUAAACUCAUCUUUGUUGGGAUAACAAAGGUAGGCAUGAAGUAGACAACCUUUAAACGGGUUAACCCUUGGAGAGAAACUGACAUUCUCAGAAAGCCAACUUCUUAGCAUAUGAAGUUGCUUCUCAGUAUGUGACAAGAUAACUUCUUGAUGAAAAGCAGUGCAUAGUUAAGUAACAAAAAUGCAAAGCAAUACAUCCUGAGAUGUAAAAGUAAAAUGGCUAAAUAAUUUCAUUUGGAAAUGAAUAGUAUCUGUAUACAUAGUGACAAACUGAACAUUAUCCAAGAGUAAAGAAUGAGAUACAAAAAACACAUACAUGAUGGAUUGUUUUGUGAAGGUUCUCCAUCAGUGUGCUGUAUGCUGUGAGAAAAAGCCAGUUUCCAAGGAGGUACAGAACAUAUAAAAUGAUGGUUUGAGAAACGUUUCCACCAGUACUCUGUGUGAUGUUCAAAACUUGGCUCCCUAACAAGAUGGAAAAAGGAGUUGCAAAGAAUGUGUAGAGAAAGUCCUGCAUCAUUGUGCUGUAAUACUGUACCAUCGUCAUUUCCCGUCAUUCAGCUUGCUUUUGAUCUCAGUUUUGACAAUACGAAUCAAGAACAAACCCGCUAGACAUAUUGCAAGGAUAAGCAUAAAAAAUACACUGUUCCAUCCUCUAGUGGAAAUAUAUCCAGCAAGAAGUGGACCAAGAGCUGCGCCAACAGAACCGGUACCAUCUAUAAUUGCAGUGACAGUAGCUAAUGCACGGGAAUUUCCCUUGAUCAAGCUCUGUGUACCAAGAUCAGCAGCGACAGCUGUUGUGAUAAGCGAGUAUGGACCAUUCACAAGCAACCCCGAAAGAAACAUCAACCCAAUGUUGGUGUACAUAGAUAUACUUCCAUAAACCCGGUAUAAAACAAGGGCUGGAAUAGAUAGUAACAAGAAUAUAAUUGAAGUAACAGCUCGAGCUUCAAUCUUAUCCGAAAUGUACCCUGCCAAAAUUCCUCCUAGAACUCCACCAACAUCAAAUAUAGUAGAAAGAAUCCCAGCAGUUUUGUGCGACAGGUGCACACCAGCAACAGCUUCAAUCCAAAACAAUUUUUAAUGGAUCUCGUUAGUUAGUGAUCAAAAGAGUCUCUUUAAGAAGUUAAACCAGGGGCGUGCUUAACACCCCAUGGAAAUUGAUGGCUCUAUUGUGUUUGUACAUAAAUUUACAGAGGGCCAUAAAAUAAGGCAAUUCAAUCUCCAUAAGACAUUCAAAAGCACUUCUAUACAUAGUUAAUAUUGAAAGAGAAAAAGAUUAAUAUACCCGUGUGCCUUAUGUAGAAGGGCAACCAGUAAAGGAAAGUGUAAGCCACAAGCUUGGAGAAGAAGAGGCAAAACGCAAAAGGCGCCACACCUGGUAACCUCCACGCCUCCAAGAACCCAAUUGCACCCGAAGAAUCUGUAACAUCGGAUGGAAGAAGCCCCGCAUCUUCCGAUUCAACUUUCUCUGAAUUUUCCAUAGAUUUAUUGGAUUCUACUUCCACAUUCAUCUCUAUCUCCUUUGCUAAAAGUUCGAAUCCAAGAUCUUCCGGAUUGACAACAAGAAACAUGAAAACAAAAAUUCCAAUGAUAAUGAUCAAAAUACCAGGCAACACAAACGACCACCCCCACCCGAAUUCCAACACCGCCGAUGACACAACUGACCCAACAAUGUUCCCAACCGAAGUAUGCGAAUUCCAUAAUCCCAUUAUCAACCCUCUCUUCUCUUUCCCAAACCAAUUACCCAGAACAGCCACAACACAAGGCCACCCAAUACUCUGAAACAAUCCACAUACAAUUUGCACCCCCACAAAAAACCCUAAUUUAUGAACAUUCAACCAAUCCCCCAACCCGAAUAUAAUUGUUAAAAUUCCACUACCUAACAUUCCAAUCACAAGGAACAGCCGGAGAUCCAACCGAUCACCGGCGUGACCAGAAAAAUACAUCCCAAUUGAAUAUGAAGAUAGGAAUGCGAGAUCGAGCUCGCCGAGACGGUGGGUGCCGUGAGGUCCAUUAAACGGAGCCCAACCGGUGUCGACUGAAGUGGAGUUGGAUUGAAUUUCGGGACUGAGGACGCUUUUGACUAUGCUGGGCGGUUUGCGGGAGGCGUGAAAGGAGGCGUACGCGACGAAGGUGAUGAGGAGAGCUGAGAUCCGAUGGAAAGUUAGGGUUUUGUGAGGGGGCUUGAGGGUUGGGAAGAGAUUAAGGCCAGGGGCUAGGGCUUGGGUGUUAGAUUGCAUUGUGUUUGGAGCCAAAAUUUGUUAAGAAAGAAAGGCAGUUUAAAACAUUUUUGUGCCCCUUUCCCUCAUUUUCCCGAGAAACAUUCAGGAAUUAUGCAGAAAUUACAGGGAAGAAGAUGAUAAUCUCGAAGCCAAGAAAACAUGCUGUGUUUGAUUUUUUGGAGGGAGAAUGCCAGGUUAGUUGGUUUCCGUUUCGUACACCCUAUGAUAUGGCUUAAAUUGAUUGGAGAACAGAUAGGGCAUGUUGUCUUUUUGAGAAACUCCAUGGAGAUUUUAGUAAUUAUGCUCUACCUAUGUGGAAAAGGUUUUCCUGUCAGCCCUUGCCACGUUGUCACGCGCUAAUGAAGGAGGAGGUCGCUCCAGCCUCCAGUAUGGGCUACAUCACACAGGCACCACUCUUUUCCCUUCGGGUUAAAGCAAACCUUUGAGUUGACUUUUGACCUAACGAAAAAUAAAAAAAUAAAAAAAUGAUAAAUGACUAAGCUAGAAGUGAAUAGGAUGUCCUCUGGCGCAUCCUAGUAUUGAAGUCCUGAACCAUAUGAUGCAUUUUCUUCUAUUAAUAACACUUGAACAGAAAAUGUUCCCUUCAAGUUUGCAAACCUACAUUCAUGUGGUUUCAUAACCUACCUAAUGGGCCUAUAACAUCUUUUACUUUGCCGAGAUAUCACAAAAUCAUUUUUAUUUUUUAACUUUUCAACAUUUACCCUAUAUAAUAUCCUAAUCCAACUUCUUACUCAAAUUAAAUUAAAUUCACUUUUAAAAUUAUAUAUUAAUUUUUUACUUAAAAAUAAAUUAAAUUAUUAAAAUUCCUUAAAUAUAUGUAAAAUCCUAAUUCUAAAAAUUUCAUCCUAAUUUUCAACCACCUAAAUCCAAAGUGAAGUGGAUACCAAUUGGAGACCUUAGAGCCUACGAGAGAAGUGUUUUCCAAACUCAGAAAAUAAUUUUAAUAAUUUUUUUACCUAAAACAAUUUUUUGAAAACCAAUUCUAAAAUAAAAUAUUUUCUUUGAAUUAUUUUCAACUAUUUUUAAAAAAUAAUUAGAUAAACAUAUAAUAUGAUUAAAAAUAAAAUAUUACUAAAAAUAAAAAUCACUUUUUAAAAUAUUGAAAAACACGUUAUGUUUAAAAGCUUUCAAACAAACUUUUAUUUCAAAAAUUAUAAUAAACUGUUUUUGAAAACUAUUUUAUAAGAGCCCGUUUGACAAUGAUUUUUAAAAGUGUUUCUACCCUUAAAAACACUUUUAAGUGUUUUUGGGAUGAAAAUAAAGCGUUUGACAAAUUUUAAAAAACACUUUUAAAAAUCUGAAAAAACACUUGAAGUGAUUUUUAGAGAAUCACUUGACAGGUGUUUUUUUUUAAAAACACUUCAAUUUUUUUGAAAUAUUCCAAAAUACCCCAGUGAUAAAUCAAUUAGAAAAAUCUUUUUUUUUUUUUAGAAAUUAAUAGGUGGUCAUAUAUUGUUUUACUUUUAAAAUUAUCUUUUAUUCAAUGUUUUUUAUUUAUUUAUUGAUUUAGAUGUUUUUUGUAAAUAUUUUUUAAAAUUUUAGUAUAGUGAUAAAAAAAUUAUUAUUUUUAAUUAGAAAAGUCUUUUUUUUUUUUUAGAAAUUAAUAGGUAAUCAUAUAUUGUUUUAAUUUUAAAAUUAUCUUUUAUUCAAUGUUAUUUUUUUAGUGAUUUAGAUGUUUUUUCAUUAAUAAAAAGUUUUUUUUGUUUAUCAUACCAUUUUUUUUAAUUAAAAUUGUAUGUCCUUUUUGGUAAUUUAUUAAUAUUAAAAGUGUUUUUAUAUUUAUACAAUAUAUUAUCAAAAACACUUUAGAAUCAUUUUUUCCGAUUAUCAUAAAAGUGUUUUUCACAGAAAUACUAUAGCAGAAAACACUUCAAAUAAAAACACUUCCACUAGAAUCACUACCAAACGGGCUCUAAAACAUUCUCCAGCAUGCCCUUUAAUACCAUCGGGAGCCAGUAAGCUUGCCCAUUCCACUAAUACAUUGGGCGGCGAACUUGAUAAUCAACACGACUGCCCCAUACUUUUAAGUACACCUCUUGACCUUUUCUAUUCAAUCUGGUUGCCAGGUCAAAAGGAGAAAGAACAGAAAAACACAAGGCCUGUGCCUUGGGAACGACUAAAAAAGCAUUAAAUUUCGUAACAAAAAUCCACCUAAGGCAAUUCCGUUGUUUUUUUAAUCCCCGAAUGGCAAUCAGAUGCACAAGUUUUUUGCAUUUGAAUUGAACUUGUACAGCUAACUAUGAUGAAAAAUGUGAGGAAGAGGACCAAAACAUCUGUAACAAAACCCUGCUUGGUGAUGCAGGAUAUCCAGCGAUCAGAAGAUGAGAUUAAACAGAGGAAUGCACUCCUGUCUCCUGACUUAAAUCAUUUGCUGAUGAAGGUCGGCUGCCUGCUGGGCUAGCUCCACCACCAUAGCCUCGUCGAAGAAUUUAUUGAUGCUUACAUCUUCACUCAUACCCUGCCAAAGAAAAUGGAAAUGCAAAAGAUUGGAUUAUAUAUCGUCUUCAGAUGGGUUCAUUAGAUCAUAUUAUUCUGUGUAACUGAAAUUGUCUGUUUGAAAUUCAUGGUUGUAGAAUGUCUUUCCUUCUGCAUGCUGAUGACUACUGAACUAACUUCAUUUGUCGUAAAACUUAUUGUUUGUGUUUCCUUCCACAAAGGAAAGACAUGAAAGGCAUGCAUUUGGCAACAUGCCAAUCAUCCUUGGCCUUUACUUGGAAAGAAAAAACAUUUGACUAGCAACAUGGUUAAAGAAACAUAUCUUAAAAACACCUUCCAAUGCAUAUUACAGCAAAAACCACACACACAUAAAAAGUGCUAUGAAGCACCUUUUCAGAUUCCAUACCUUUCUACGCCUUGUCUUAACCAUGAACUCACGAGCAAGGUGCUGAAUCGGUGCAGGUUCCAGUGGCCGCAGGACAAUACUCUUAUCAAGAGGGUCCCCUGGAACUAUAGCCCAGUGAUCAAACACAGAGGCGCAAAACGCUUGCCCUUGAGUAUGGUACCUCAAGUCUGUCUCAAACCCAAAUGAUUCUAUCACUGGCAAAAAUGCCUGAAAAUAAAUAAAUAAAGACAUUCAAAAAAUCAAGUUGCAAUUAGAUGAGUUUUCAAGCAUGUAUAUCUAGAAAAAAGACUUGGAACAUAUAAACCAAUAUGACCAACAAUAUCAUGCAUUUUACAUGAGAGAUAAAUUGGCAACACAUGUAACAAGAUGGAAGGAAUAAUCCCAACCAUAUGGGGUCAGCUCCAUUUAAUCCAAUUAAUGCUAUUCUAAUGUAUCUUCGAAAUUUAUAAUGAUAAUCUUGCAUAUUGUAUUAUCAAAUUUCUCAGUCAUAAAAAUUGGACUGGCAAGUCGGCUGGCAGUUCCAAGUGUUACUAAUUGUCCUCAAUCUCAUAGAAAACCAUUAAGAUCAAUCAUGAAAAUUUUCCAAACAUUUCCUUCAAAACUGUAACUAUAAAAGCAAAGUACAGCCAUCAAACCUUAACAAUAUAGGCUGGGGUCCCUGGUUGAGGAACAUCAGCUGUAACAUGCCCACGCCUGCGAGAUAAGACAGUGUAGAUUGCAGAGACACAGUCUAUUGGUGUUUGUAUCUGAAACAGAGAAACCAAAUUAAAUAACACAGUGAUGUCAUCAGCCUGAUAAGGGAAAAACACAUUUAAGUCUAAUAACAGAUUGAAACUAAAUAUUCUUUUUAGGGAUGAUUAAAUAUCAACUUGUUUACUGUCUGGAUCUAUGAUCCCUAUGAUUCUAUAUUCAGAUACACCUUCAAGGAAGAAAGACUUCCUUCUUAACUUUUAUGAGAAAUUUCUAUGAACUAGAAAAUUGCACGUUCUAGUUUUAGCAAUAUCCAGAAAUUUCACUUAAAAAAUGAAGCCUAAUUAACAAAUUUUCUACAUUUUUUGAGGCAACUAUGAAUGGUCUUAGGGGUUGGGUUGCUCAAAAGAUAAGUAAUAUGUUCAGUUCCCAUGCCCAGGCACAGUCCAUUUGCAGUCUUUUUUUUUUCCUUGAAUGAUGAGUGGAAAGAGGGGUCAUUAGCCUGCAUUCUUCCUUCAAUAGCUUAAUAUAGCAAAGUAUUUACCUCCACAUAGUAUACAGGUUCCAUAAGUCGUGGAGUUGCCAUAAGGAAUGCAGAGUAGGCCACCCGCCGAGCUGUAGGAAUGAUCUGACCAGUUCCUCGAUGCAAGGGCUCAGGUGCAAUCCUUGCAUCGACUAUUUUGAACUUAACAUUUCUGAUGGGCUCAUCACACAGGGGUCCUUCUCGGGCACCCCAUUGAAAUCUAUCCAGAACAACACACACCCUUAAUAAAAGGCAAAAACAAUAAUAAAUGAAAAAAGAAACUAAUGACAACAUAGUUUACCCUUGAACAAUGGAAUCUUUGACAGCAUUUAGUAAGUUCUUAUCAACUUCACUAGAGAGAGUAUCAUCUAACAAAAUGUUAGGCCCCUGCAAGCAGCUCAUUGGUCAGACAGAAACAUGGCAAUCAUACACAUAAGAGCUAGAUUGGAAAAAGAUUUGCAAGAAGUUAGGAAUAUAUCAAAGGAAGCGGAUGGAAUAACAAGCUGAAGUUAAUUUUUUUAAAAAGGGAGGUAUUGAUUAAACAACAGUAGGGUUGUAUCACUGUUAGAAGUUGAAACUUUUGCCAAGUACAUUACCUGCUUAUCUGGCCCAAAUGCCCAUAUGGACCUUGCAGCCAGCAAAUCCCAGUCAUAUUUUGUUUGAAAAAAGUCACCAAGUUUCUUUCGAUGCCAAUCAAUGCUUACAACACCAUUCUCAAUAUCCUCCGCGAGUCCUUUCUCCAAUGGCUCUGCAAUCUAGCAAAGAAAAAAACACAAAAAAAAAGGUUGUUUAAAUAAUUAAUAUACUGCAUAAAAUUGAAUCAUAUAUGAUUCUUGAUAGCCCCAGGAUCAAGGGAAGGGAAAAAAAAGGCAAUAGAUGACUUCCCUACCAUGGUUAUUUUAUUCUUCUUGUUGGGUGUUUCAGCAAAACAUUUCAUUGAUGAAGACUCCACCACAGUUUCACAAAAUGAUACAACAGGAUCUGCCACCUAUAUUUUAAGUAAAGCACAAGAAGCAAAAGCAUGCUCAUCAACAAAAGGCACAUCCCUCCAUCGAAAAGGCAAAAAGGGUACUCACAUGAAAGUUAAGAUCAACCAUAAAUCAAAUAAGAGAUCGAUGUGAAAUAGAUACCUUGACUUCAACUUCAGAAUACAGCUCUCUAAGGUCCUUCAUGAUAGAAUCCAAAUACAACUCCCCAGUACCUAAAAUAGUGUGUUCUCCAGACUCCUCAACUUUAGUAAUUGCUAAAGGAUAGCUCUUACUGAUCUUCCUAAGACCCUCCACCAUUUUGGGCAACUCACUUGGAUUUAAAGGCUCAGUAGCUGUUUUAACUACUGGAAGAGUAUUAAACAGAAGAGGCCGAAAUAUGUAUACAUCCUCAUCAUAAUCCAAAUUACAAAGUGUGGCAGUCUUCAUAAUUGAAGCAUCCACACCUUCAAUGAGAACCCAAGAACCAGGAGGAGCCUUGCUUAUGGGUAUUCUGUAACGAGCUUGAUAAACCCAUAAUUUUGUAACUUCCUUUACUGUCAUAUCCUCUUCGUCUUCUGGUGAAUAGCCUUCUCCCAGCACACGUAAAGUCUGCCCUGUUUGGAUUUCACCACUAUAAACCCUACCAAAAGCAUCAAAAACACUGCAAUCAGACUUUGGAUACAGUUUAGUCACAUUAACCAUUAGAGGACCAGAAGAAUCACAAUCUUCCAUGGCCUGGUAUAUUGCAGAAUCUUUGGGUCCAGUAUAAAUAUGAUCAACCUUCUUAGCUGCAGCAUCUUUGGCAGAAGGAAUAUGCUGAACCAGCAUAUCAGUGAAACCUGUCGCUGAACCAAAGACUGAGCUACAGGCCAACCUCAGCAAAGGCCUAACAUUUAGUUUGUAGGCUGCAUUACUGAGAGUGACACCCAGUUCUGCAAGGGUACUCUCCACACUCUUCUUAUGUUCUCCAAUUACUUGGCUAUAUAUCUUGUAGAGGGGCUCAAGCACAAACUGGACAAAUGAUCUUUCCCCUCCACUUGCAGGCGGUUUCUUCCUGAAAACCCUAGCAUCAGGAUGAUAAUACAUAUCUCCCCAAAGCCGAGAUGCAAACUUAUUGGCAUCAAAUGGGACGCCAUGGAGUUUGACAUAUAGUUUAGCAAAUGAUUGCAAAGUAAAAGACCAUCCUGCACUAGCACUAGCAAAACAGACAUUUCCAGCAGCCGGGUCUAUGAUUUGGACAUUUCCUGCAGUUGAUGAGGCAGCAGAUAUGUGAUUAUUGAUGAGUUCCAGAGUAUGCCUUAGCUUAUGAUAAGCAUCCUUUGGGGGCAAUUUGAGUUCAGUGAUCAGCCUGUCAACCUUGAAAAAAUAAGAGAUUAAAAUAAAUUAAUAAAAGAGAAUACAAGGAAGUCUAUGAAGUGCUCUGCUUCGUAGAGUUGAUUAAAAUGGUACAAAGAAGUUUUGACCACCAAAACAAAGGGUUAAAAGGUACCUUAUUGAUUACAACUACAAUAGGAAGGCGCUCUUGGAUUGCAUGGCGUAUAGCCCUUUCUGUAUUUACCUGUGCACAAAAGAAUUAUCGAACAUUUCAUGUCAUUACAAUCUCUCUCAAAGCAACUGCCAAAGCCAUUAAUUCAGGAAAAGGACAGAAAUGAGCAUAUUGGAUAAUCAAUAUGAACGGGUUGAACAUAAUUCUUCUUUAAUGAGAAAGUUUACCUGCUUCCUAUUAGUAAUUUGGUUCUAACUAUUCUCUCACUAAGGUAAUCUAAGCCAGGCCCUUUUAAUAUUAACUAGGUCGAUUAAACCUUGAUUUCCACAACUGGAUACAUUCAUCACUUGGGUACAGACAUCUAUACUUAUUCAACAUGGUAUUAAUCAUAUAUCUCUAUUUUGACUUAGUUAUGGAGUUUGCAUCUCUCUCUAUCUUUAACUUCAAAUUGUCUUUCUUCAACAUUCCUUUAUUUUCAGAACUUACUUUUUUUCUUUUUUUUCUUUUUUUUUCCAGGUGAUAGGCCAUAGCUUACUUUCAGUUAUCACCCUCAUUAAUAUUAAGCUUGUUCCACUAAGUCUGAUAAAAACAGGGAGAAGCAAAAACAACUAUCUUAAUUACAUGCAUCCUCCAACAGCAGGCAGAAACACUCAAAGUUGGGGUCAAAUAAUUAAACCUGCAUAUAUCUCUUAACUUUUAUUCCACUACUCGACCUAUAAAUUAUCAAAGCUAAAGUUCUAAUAGACUUGACACUUUUGGAAUUCCCCAAUCAAAAAAACAAAACAAUAAUUUCUUAGUUCUGAUGGGGAAUAAUUAAUAUGGAAGGGCUUUAAAGAAGAAGAGGUAUUUGGGUAAUACAUGAGUAAAGAUAGGCAGUAUGAACCUAAAACUAGGUUGAAAAGCUUUGUAGGUAAGAAACCAAUCAUAGAAGCUUACAGCAGAAGUUCAGAUUGAGUCAUAUCUAUUUUGCACUGAUUAUAGAUAAGUUAGUUGAGCAUUUAUGUGUUGGUGACAUCUACAAUACUAUGUUAAAGGAAGAGGUGUCCAAUCUACACAUCCACAAUUAGUGACCUGGCAUAAAUUCCACCUCCAAUUAAAAGAUAUGGAUAUAAUGAUUUUAUAGGAAGUACAGGUGAAACACUGGAAUCCAUUAUUACUAGGGUAGAGUGGAAGGAGGGAUGAACUCACAAGACCGCCACUCAUAAAAUUUUCACAAGAGCACAACGUAAGGAAUGUGCUCAGUUGUACAUUCCAAUUGACAAGACUAGGAAAAAUACUAAUGAAAAGUUAUAACCAUGUAAGGAAGCUUUAAAAUAAAAUAAAAAAAGCUGUGAGAAAAUAACUAAUGUGGAAAAUGUAAUAAAAUUACAAAAAUAAGUGCUUUUUUGGAUACACUUCAUGUUUUAUUGUUUUUAAACAAAGAAAAUAGUAGUUUCUAUCCCUUUUACGCAUCCCUAAAUCUGUUACAAAAAGGAUUGAGAAAAUCCAAAGAGAUUUCCUUUGGGGGGGAGGAAGUUUGGAGAGGAAAGCUCACUUAAUUAAGUGGAAGGUGGUUUGUAGCCCUAAGGAGGAGGGAGGAUUAGGCAUCCGAAAAAUAGAUGUAUUGAACAAAGCCUUGCUGGGCAAAUGGGUGUGGAGAUACGCCUAUGAGAAGGAGAAUCUAUGGAAAAGGGUGAUAGGGGUGAAAUAUGGUCAAGAGGGGUGUGGGUGGAGGACUAAGGACGUUUGUGGGCCUUAUGGAGUGGGACUGUGGAAGGAGAUCAUGAAGGAAGCUGAUUGGUGCUGGGAGAGUAUUGUGUUUAAGGUAGGCAAGGGGACCAGAAUUUUGUUUUGGAUGGAUAAGUGGUGCGGUAAUGAGGCCCUUUCUCAAAUUUUCCCUCAGCUGUUUACUUUGGCGGGUCAUAGGAAUGCCAAAGUAAGUGAAGUGUGGGACUCUAGCCUGGGUCAAGGAGGUUGGAAUCUCAGAUUGGCUAGAGAUUUCAAUGAUUGGGAGCUGGAACAGAUAGGAAAUAUGCUGAAUCUGCUGAAGGAUUUCAGGACUUCGACUGAGGAGGAUGCUGUAAGAUGGAAAAGGGAAAGCAAUGGUGUUUUCGGGGCUAAGGGUGCUUACAAAAUGUUGGUUGGGUCCUCAGCCUGUGUCUUCCCGAACAGACGCAUUUGGAUGAAUAAGGUGCCAACAAAAGUAUCUUUUCUUGCUUAGGAAGCUUCGUGGGGGAAGAUCCUCACCUUGGAUAAGCUUCAAAGAAGGGGGCGGCAGCUCCCUAACCGGUGUUUUCUGUGUGGAUGUGAAGAGGAAAAUGCGAAUCAUAUUAUGUUACAUUGUACAGUGGUUAAGACUCUUUGGGAGAUCGCUCUCGCCAUUUUUGGAGUCCAAUGGGUGUUCCCAGAAUCAGUUAUAGAAGUGUUACUUAGUUAGAGGGGUUCUUUUGUGGGGAAAAAAAGAAAAGACACCUGGAAUUCCAUUUCGUUGUGCAUUUUUUGGACGGUUUGGAAGGAAAGGAAUAGGUUAGCUUUUAGGGGGGGGUCUUUAGAUAUACAAAAAUUCAAGAAUUUUUUUGUAUGUAAUUUGUGGAGUUGGGCUAGGGUGUAUAUUGGUGAGGAUACCUAUUCUCUUUUAGGCUUUUUGGAGUGGCUUGCGGUCACUUGAGGGUGGGUGAGGUUUUCCCUCUUUUUUGUUCAGUUCGUCUUUUUGGGCAUUUGUGUAUACCCCCUGUAUACAUGCGGCUUUUUAGCCUUUUCUAAUAUAUUCUGACUGUUUAUCUAUAAAAAAAAAAAACAAAGAAAAUAGUAGUAAUUUUCAUGUAAAAUAUAACAACUCUUAUAUGAAAAGUAUAAACCUACCUCAUGUCUUUAAAAAUUACUUUGUAAAUUAGAGGUAGGUUUAUACCUCAAAGCGUAAAAUCCAAAAUCUUUUUAAGGCAAGUCUCAAAGAGUUCUUGCAUUUUAGACAGAAGUUACCAUUGUUUUCCUUUUGAAAAAAUAAAAAACAAGAAGUGCAUCCAAAAGACACCUAAAUAAUCUGAUGUUAGAUUGACGUCUACAAGAAAUCCAGGAGCAACUAUUUGCAUUAUUUUCUUUUCAUACAUGCACAGUGAUUGAUGAAUCAAAGAGAACAUUCCUUGAAGAACUAAUGCUAUAUGAAUGAACAAGAGAGUUAUGACACAACUAUGAAUACAUCCUGUGUACUUGGAUUGCACCUUUUUUUUGCUAGGCCCCUUCUAAUAAAUCAUUUUUCUAUCAAAAAGAACUACAAUCAUAAAAUCCUCAAAUUUCAAAUUUCUAAAUGUUGCAGCAUGUCAGCCUAAAAAGCACGAGAAUAAGAUGAAUUGAGUACAAAAACUAGAAGGAAUAGAUAUUAAGUCAUUUCCAGCAGAAAUGGGGGCAAAAUAAAGGCCAAUGAUUAAACUAAUUAUGAUUGAAAUGGUUAAAGUAGCAAGUACUAUGAACAGAGGGAAGGUCCAAGGAACGUAAAUCUUAAGAUAGUGCAAAAGAACCUAGUGGCCUACCAUUCUUCAAGAAAAAAUGCACACAAGUCACAACGUAUAAAGAUUAAGAUUCUGAUGGUUGAUGACGUAUGGUUGAGAUUUGAUACCAGAAUAAGAUGCAUACAUAACAUGCCUCAAGCUCAAAACUUUUCAGUGGGUAUGAGGGGUUGCUCAGUGUUUCAUGCGGCACUUUGUUAUUGGGCAAUUUUCUGUGUGUUUGCACGAGUGCCAUCAUGUGUUUGGCUUCCUCAGAAUUUAAAAAAAAAAAAUAGCAUACCUGAAAAGAAACAACAGAAGCAGCCAAAGAAAAGGGUCACUUACCAUUACUCCUUCAGCAGCAUCCACAAUCAAGACAGCACCAUCGGCAAGUCUGAGAGCAGCAGUCAUCUCAUCAGAGAAAUUUACAUGACCUGGAGUGUCCAUGAUGUUACAAAGAUAAGAUUUUGAAUUGCUAUCCUCAAGAACAAGUGACAUGGGAACAGCCUUAAUUGAUAUCCUUCUCUCUUGCUCAUCAAUCCUCGUAUCUGUGUAUCUCAUGUGCUUCUCACUAUUUGAAUCAAAUGUUGAAAUAUGGUGUGUUUGCUCAACCAGCAUGUCCAUGAAUAGUGUCUUUCCAUGCUGUAAAUGUCCGACCAGAGCAACAUUCCGAACCAAAGCUGGGUUUGACAUAAGACCCAAAAGAAACUGGGUUGACACAUAUGUCGACGAAUCCUUCACUCCCAACUCAAACUUAAUAUUCCUAACAGGUUUGAUUAUUGGUUGUUCAAGUGGUUGCUCAUCUUCAUCCAUUACCAAGGUUUCAACAUCUUCACCAUAGACUUCUUCAGCAGUAGGAUAGUACUUUUUGUCUUCAGCAAGGACAAUCUGGUUGUCCAUGUCAACAUCAUUAGAUGCAGUUAUCCACCCAUUAGAGGCUGCAACUGCAUCCUCAACAUCAGAUACCAUUUCCUCUUCAUCAGGCUUGUCAGGGAUGUCCUCAUCUUGAUCAUCUCCAUCACUUUCUCUGUCAGACUCAAUUUCUGGUCCAAUGUAGUUUCCAAAUUCAUCAUAUAAACUGUCAUCCAUGGUUCUUUCAAAUCUGCCACAUUGUAUAACCAAUUAUUAGUAUGGAACAGCAACCACCCAAUCAAGAAAGAGUUGUUUAGGGCAAUGUUCGGUUCACAAUCAUCAAUGGUCUUUGCCCACUUAAGACCAAAUGUUCUCUUAGAGCCUAGGCACGACAGGGAAGCCCAUGGCAUGGGCUCGAGUGAAAUGAUGCAACAUUAAUUAAUGUAAUUUUAUAAAAUUUAAUACGCUAAUACUUGUUGCAUACCAUAAAAAAAUAAGAAAAAAAUAUUCUCAAGAAAUUCAGGGAAAAGAACAUUUCAGUAAUUUCAUGAAGAGUUUCAUUGAAUAGUCUCAGUAAUUUCAGUUUUUAAAAAAUGUAUAAGAAAAAAGGCCAAAGUUUCCAAAGAGUGCACAUGUGAGCUAAAAACAGCCAAGUGUCCAGAAAAUGCAAAAUCAUCUAAGAAAACUUAAGUGAGAAAAAUUAUAAAUAUGUCAUAAUGCAAAUUGUACCAAAAUUUUAAAAGAAAAAUUUUCCAAAAUAUCAGGAAAAAAAAUCUCAAAAAGACAUUUCAGGAAAAAUUAAAAGAGAAAACGAAGAAGUAGAGCGACAAGUGUGUGCAGUGUGACGAAGUAAGAAACAAUGAAACAGAGAGCGUGUCGGAGCGAGUGGUGCAGUUGGGACUUGAAAGUUGUUGGUAUCUUCUCCUCCCCCAAGGAGGAGCAGAAGAGACUUGCAGGAAGAUUAGGAUUAGGGUUACUUUUUACAGAGAAGAGAGAAGAAAUUAAAGAAAUGUCGGGGUUUGGAUCUUUCACCUUUUCUCAAUUUGACCCAAAAACGAAAAAUGAAAUGGGUUUUUGAUUUGGUGAAUCCUGCAUCUGGGUUUCUUUUCUGAUCAAUUUUCCAGUCAUAUUCAAGAUGGCAAACAAUUCAAGGGUUUUAACCUAAAUACUACAAACCAUCAAACAGCUGAUACUAGAAUCAAAAGAAUAACCCGUUUUUGGAUUUUUUUUGCGCAGAAAUUGAAUUAAAAUUACCUAAUCCUUACAGACACGUAUACAUCCAGAGAAAGAGAUAUAGAGAGUACCUGAAGAGGGAGUUACAGGAAGUGAAUCCAACUGAGUGUUCAAGAGUAUUGAAACGAGAGGGUUUAUAGAGGGGUUGGCCACGGCGCGGCUGUCAAGAGGAAUUGGGCCUACACCUGGCUAGAUAAAGCUCGAGCCAUGUAGGUUGGACUGAGUUUGAGCCCAAUGGGCUCGAGUAUGUUGGCCUCCGGUGGCUUACUCUCUGUUUGGAAACUAUUUGGCACUGUACCUUGAAAACAAUGUUCUGUCGAACUUAUGACAAAAAAAUUAAAAAAUAAUAUUUAUUUAUUGAAUACAAAUGUUUAUAAAAUUGAUGGUAUUAAAAUGCUGUAGCAAAAAUAUAAUUGUUGGAAAAAAAACCACAUAUGAAGCAAUUGUCAAAGAAUCAUUUAAGUAAUUACUCAAAUCUACUUCAAAUGAUUAUUUAUAUUUUUAAAAUCAAAUUUAAAAACAUUGUUAUAAAAAACAACUUUUAAACAUUAGGAAAUGUAUAUAGUAUUUACGAAACCAUUCUCAAAUAAACUUCAAUUACCUAUUAAUAUUAACUAUUAUAAUUUUAGAUUAUUUAUUUGAUUUCAUCGAUACCACAAAAUCAUAUUUGAAAAGUCGCAGUAUGUUUCUCAAUUGCCAUUUAAUGGAAAAAGGUUUUGAAUUAUCUUAUAAAAUGCCUAAAAUCUACAUUGGUUGUUCACGGAUGAAUUCUUUUUUCAAGUAGCGAAUGAAAUUACAAAAAAUUGAGAACCAUUAUAUUUUUAUGAUACAAAUGUCUUAACCUUAAGAAAAACAGAGAAAAAAUAAAUAGAUAUAAUUCAAGAGAAAAAACUUUUUUUAAAGAACUCUAUUCAUUUGACUUUUGUCAUAUAAAGAGUGUGUGAGAAAGAUUUUUUUUUUAUUUUAUUUUUUUGUAAUUGUAUAAUAGCAUUUUUGUGUAAUUUUAAUUUCCAUAAAUUGUUUCAUGUUUCUUAUUUUGUUGGAUCGAGUCGAAUCAGUCCACAUGAGCACCCAAACCCAACUCCAACACCAUUAAACCCAUUUUUACAAUCAAUGAAGAUAAAAAAUUAAAUUAAAAAUAAUGAUUGGUAAAAUUAAAAAUUUUGAUAAUGAAAAUGUAUAAUAUAUAAAAUUUAAAAAAUGUUAACUUAUAGAAAAAUUAAACUCAUAGUAAGCUAAUAAAAUAAGAGUAUAUUCAUGUUCUUAAAUCACCUAUAAGAAGUGUAUUUAAUCUUCAACCACAAGUCAGCAAGACUUUAAUAUUACUUCUUUUUUUUUAUCACGUUUUGAAAAAAUAGAAAUAUAGUAAUGAUUACUCCAUGCUAUCAAUUACUAUACAUACAUAUAAUUAUUUACUUAAUUUGGAUUGGAGUUGCUUUAUUUUCCCCCAUACCUAACAUAGAUCACAAAAAGGCCUGCCUUAACCCUUCCAAGAUUGGAUUAAAUUCAGUUAAACCUGUUCAAAUUACAUCCUUAAUUGAUUUAGAGUAUUAUUGACAACGAUUUUAAGAAAUGUUUAUGGUAUUUAUAAUUUUUAAAAGAUAAAAUUUUUUAAGUAUUAAAAAUAUAAAAAUACUUUUUAAAAUUAAUGUUAAAUGCAUUCUUAAAAUUUGUUUAAAAAUGUUAGACAAUUUGUCUAAAAAGUAUUUAAGAAAAAUGCUUUUUAUUAAAAACAUUUUGAGUAGAAAUGAAAAUUUUUGUUAUGGAGUACAUUUACCCGAUCAUCAUCAAUUGUUGAGCAAAAAAUUUAAUGACUUGCUCAUGUCAUAAAAUACGGUAGUCAUGAAAAUAUUAAUAAAUUAUUUAGUUGAAAACAUUAAUUUAAUGAUUUGAAAUGUUACAUGAAUUAUUUAACAGGGACAUACCACCUACAAUCAUAUUAAAAAUCAUGAGAAAUAUUUGAUAAGUAAUUUGUCUAAAAACACUUUAAGAAAAACACUUUUUAUUAAAAACAUUUUGAGUAGACAUAAGGUGAAAAUUCCUUUUAUGGAUUACAUUUACCCAAUCAUCAUCAAUUGUUGAGCAAAAAAUUUAAUGAUUUGCUCAUGUCAUAAAAUACGAUGGUCAUGAAAAUAUUAAUAAAUUAUUUAGUUGAAAACAUUAAUUUAAUGAUUUGAAAUGUUACAUGAAUUAUUUAACAGGGACAUACCACCUACAACCAUAUUAAAAAUCACGAGAAAUAUUUGAUAAGUAAUUUGUAUAAAAACACUUUAAGAAAAACACUUUUUAUUAAAAACAUUUUAAGUAGAAAUAAGGUGAAAAUUCCUUUUAUGGAUUACAUUUACCCAAUCAUCAUCAAUUGUUGAGCAAAUAAUUUAAUGAUUUGAAAUGUUACAUGAAUUAUUUAAAAAGGACAUACCACCUACAACCACAUUAUAAAGUUUGGAAAAGAAUGUCCAUCCAUUGAACAAUGGAAGAAAGUGUGCCACCAUAGAAAACAUUAAUAAGCUCAGUCAUGAAAAUAUUAAUAAAUUAUUUAGUUGAAAAGUCCAUUCUUCCUUGUGUACGCUCAAAGGUCUUAGGUUUGAUGAGUUAAAUUUUAUUUUAUAUCUUAGAAUAAGAAGUUAAAUUGAAAAACCGAGAAUGAGAGAGAAGAGGAAGCCACAAACAUGGCGGUCGCUUCUCACAUUUAUUGUAACACACUUCACACACAUACACACGGAUGAAAGUCCUAGGCCACCACGUGUCACAAAUCACAGAGUCUGAGGGCAUUAUUUAGUAUUUAGUAUUUACUACAACACAACCCAGAAAGCAAAAAAGAGAAUUACAAACACAACCCUCUCAUUCAGCUGCUGGCCGUCACGUCCCUCCAUUCACAUUAUGACUUGUAGGCACGAGUCUCAAGGGUGGGUGGUUAGCGACUUACCAGGGGCGUUGGGGAGGGCCAGGAGGACCGGGAGGACCAUAAGGCCCCGGAGGCGGAGGGCCAAAGGUACCUGGCGGACCCGGGGGUGGCGGACCAGGGGGUGGCGGACCAGGGGGUGGCGGACCCGGGGGUGGAGGUCCCGGGGGCGGCGGCCCGUGGUGGUGUGGGUCGUGUGGUGGAUGAUGCAUCUUCUCUUCUUCUUCAAGGAAGCUGUGGUGUGGCGAAGGGGUUGGAGGGGGCUUCUCAAUUUAUAAUGUAGGGGAUGUGUGAGAAGUGGGAAAUGAGAUGAAAGGCAGCUUAAUUCAUCCUAUGUUUAUCUUUUUUAUCUACAAGUCAAACUUUGAUUUCUUUGAUUUUUUAUUAUUUUUUAGACGGUGUCACCUACUAUUCUAGAAGGCAAAGGGAAAUUGACAUCCAAAUUUUAUUUUCAUUUUAUUUUUUUGCCUCACGGCUCGGGCAUCUAUAAUUAUUUAUUUAUCAAUGUAGAAAAUCCUUGUGGGGAUAAAAGACACGUGAGUUCUGAUGGGGCGGGCCUCCAUCCCCGCAAUUCAAUCUCGCAUUCGCAUUCAUGUAUUAGGGUUUUGGACCACAAUAAUUAAUUAAAAAAAAUCAUAUUUAUAAUGACCUGUAAAAUAAUUCUCAAUUUAAUCCUUUUUUUUACAUGAAUUGUCACGUUCAUAAUUUUUAUUUUUAUUUUUGAGGUGCUUUCCAAUUUUUUAAUUUAAAAAUGACCUCGUUGAACACGUGGUCAGUAUGAAUUAAAUUAUAUAUUUUUAAAAUUCAAAUUAUAUUUAUAAUUAUUCCAAUCUUAUUAUGUAGAUAUUAUCCCAUUUGAAUCAAAAGUGGACAAUAUUUACACAAUUGUAUAUUGAGGAUUUGAUUGAUUCAUGAAGAGUAUUUGUUUACUUGACUUUAUAAUUUUUAAGAAAUGACAAAAACAUUAUGUUUGCAUGUGAUGUUCGUAAUAUUUCACAUAGGAUUGAGAAGGAAGUUAUUAAUUCUAUAUAAAUAUGAAAUUUUCUUAAUCAUGUAAAUGUGUUAUAAAGUUACAAGAAUCCUGUCAUCCUUAAAGAGGAUAAUGCUUACAAAUGUUUCAAAAUUAAUUUUGACUUUGUAGGGAGUGUUUAUCUUUUUGUGAAAAAGGAAAAUUAAAACUCUUUUUUAAAAUAAUUUUAUGAUAUUAAAAAUUAGAAAUUUGAAAAAUAAAAAAUAAUGUUUUGAGAACUUUUGAUGAAAUUAGGAUAUUUGAAUUAUUUUUCUUGUUUUAAUGAGAUUAUUUUUAAAAAUAAUUAUAUAAAUAUAAAGAAUAAUUUAAAAUAAAUUAUUGUAAAUAAAAACUAUUUUUAAAAAUAUAAAAAGAAUAUUUUAAGUGUUCAAACAAAAAUUUGUUUGGUAAACAUCAAAAUUUUGUUUGAAAAGUGUUUUUGAGUUCUAUUCUGAAAAUAGUCUUUAAAAACUAUUUUAUAAUCUUUCUAAAACAAAAGUUUCUGUUUUGACAGCUUGAAAGUUUGAAACACGGAAUUGCAGGCUUAUGCCCUACACGAGCAGGGGAACCUUCUGGAACUCGUGGACCCAAUUCUCGGUUCUAACUACUCUGAAUUUGGAUUUCUUAUGCACCAGCCCAUCUCCCACUCUCAGGCCAAAUUCCGCGUCUUCUGUAGUGAGCACGCUCCAAGGCAAAAUCGCUGUCCAAGCACCAAUAGCCAAGAGGAGCUCAAUGAACCAGGACAUGAGGUUCAAAGCCUUUGAGAGGCUGUCACAGGACAUAUCAUAUUAUGCUUUAUUUUCUUCUUUCAAUUUUUCCUCUGCUUUCUCUGCUACCAAACAAUGGCUUAUAUCAUUCUGCUGGAAAUUCUUUGUCCCUCUAUGCCAUAGCGAACUUGAUCUGAACCCAUAAUGUUUAUGGCCGAGUUGGAAUUCUGGGUAUUUAUUUUUUUCCUUUCUUUAAUUGGUUUGAAACCGGCACUGAAGCCGUAUUUUCAAAUUUUGACUGUUACAUAGGUUUUAAAGCCGCAUUUCCAAGAUGAGUUUUCUCAAUUAUGUAAGGGUUUGUUUGGAAAGUAUUUUUUAGAAUAGUUUCCUGUUUUUCAGAACGAAAAAACAAAGAAAAUGUGUUUGACAACCAUAAACUAUGUUAUGUUUUUUAUUUUUAAGAAUUAAAAAUAUAGUGUUUUAAAAAAACAUUUUUAAUUAUUUUAUAUUAUUUUCAUUUAAUUUUUUAGGGUUAUUUUAAAAAAUAAUCAUACAAAUAUGUCAAAUAUAUAGAAUAAUUAAAAAUAAAACAUUAGAUAUAAAAACAUAUUUAAAAAUAUUAAAAAUAGGUUAAAAUCAUUUUAAGUUUCACAUAGACUUAUGUUCUAUAAGAAUCAUAGAACAAUUUUUUAAAAAUAUUCAUAAAAACUAUUCUUCAAAAUUAUUUUGAAAAAUAGUUACCAAAUAGACUUUUGUCCUAGAUAUGAAAAAUCAUAUAGUUUUUUAUAAAUUGUUUUUAAUUUUUUAUUAUAUUUAUUAUUGUUAUUUUUAAAAAUAAAUUAGUUUAAAAAAUUAAGUUUCCUUAAAUACAAUAUUUACAUUUAUGAUGUAAAUUGAAAUCGAUAUUCAAAAUUUCAUAUAUUAAUUUUCCUUUUGCAAUGAUGUAAUUUCUUCUUAUUUAUUGAAUUUAUAAUUUUAUCAUCUAAUUAUAUAAAUAUAUAAAUUGAGAUCUCAUAUUACUAUGAUUCUAAGUCAUGUGAUGAAAAUAUUUUAUUUAGUUGCUUUAAUUUUAGAAAACUAUCCAUUCUUUCUAUUAAUUAUUAAAUAUUAAUUUCAAAAUUUUAUUUUUAGUAUUUAGUAAAAAACAAAAUAUUUUGACUUUUUCUAUUCAUUCAGAUAAAAAGUUAUAAAAAUAAGUAAUAAAUAAUAAGUUAAAAACAAACAAUUUAAUGUUUGAAAGCAAAUUACAUUCCAAUUAAGUUAAAAAACAAAUACCACUUCGAUAUUUGGUAAAAUUUAAUCCUUAUUAUUUAAUGACUUAAGUCAAAUUAUUCUUAAUAUGUUAACUUAAAAUUUGUUACUUACUUUUUUUUUUAAUCAUUAAAAUUGUUCGAUGAAAUUAACUUCAAAUUUAUUUUUAUUCCUCAAAUUAAUAUAAUUACUUUUGUUAAUUAUAAUUAAUAUUAAUCUUCAUUCAAUUAACUAAUUUAUUUUCAUUAAUUUUAAGCAAGACAUUUCUUUAUAAAACAUUUAUAUUUAAAGUAUUGAUAAAUAAGAUAACCAUAAAAGAUUUAUUAUAAAAAAUGAAUCAUAAAUUUGGAAUUAUAAUUUUAAAAUAUAUUCUCAUUAACAUAUGCAAAUGAAAAAAAAAAAGAUUUUGAGAUUAAGAAUAAGUUAAAUAUUUUGACUUAGUACUUAAAAGUUAUAAUAUUAAAUUAUUUUACCAAAUAUGAUUAAUCUACUUAAUGACUUAAAUUAAGUUGUCAAGUCAUUAAGUAAUUUAUCAAACACCUUGUUGACUUUAAACUUAUUGUUUAUUUUUUAUUUUAAAGUAUUAAGGUUGGUUGGUGAAAUUAACUUAAAAUUUAUCCUAUAUCGUCAAACAUAUUUACCCUUAUUAAUUUUAACUAAUAUUUAUAUUUUCAUUCAUAUUAAGAUAUAAACUUAUUCAUUAAAAAAAUCAUAUUUGAAGUAUUUUACAUAUAUAAAAUAACUACAAAAUAUUUACAUUCAAAAGAUGAGUUUCAAAUAUAGAGUUAUACUUGUAAAAUAUGGAAAAAUGAGAUAAAAAAGAUUUAAGAUUAAGAAUAAAUUACUUAUUUUAACUUACACUUUCUUCUUCUUCUUCUUUUUUUUUUUUUUGAAAUUUAAGUAGUAAUAUUAAGUUAUUUUCCAAAAUAUAUUUAAUUUACUUAAUGACUUAAAUUAAUUUAUUAAGUCAUAUUAAGUCAUUAAGUUCAUUUAUUAAACACCCUCUUAAAAUAUAUUUAUUUAUUUAUACUUAAAUCUAAAUAGAACUUAAUUUUAAAUACAACUUAAUAAUAUCAAAUAUUAAAUUAUUUAUUUUUUAUUAAUUUAUUUUUAUUAAGUAAUAAGUAUUAAUAAGGUGAGGGUCAUGCUAAAAUUGUGUUUUAAUUGUUUUGAAAAGUUAUUUUUAACGUUCAACAAAAAGUCAAAAUAUUUUGAUUUUUUCUAUUCGAUCAUUUUUAAAAAAAUAAGUAAUAAGUUAAAAAAAAAAUCUAAAGUCUAAAUGCAAAUUGCAUUAGACAUUAAGUUAAAAAAGCAAAUACCACCUUGAGCUUGGAACUUAUUAUCAAACUCAAAUAGUUAAUUUCUAAUGCUUUUUGGUUUGCAUGCCCAAUUUUAAGUUAGGCAUUUUAUAUUUUUCUUAACAAAAAAAAUUAUUUUCUAAAUUAAAUUGAAUGACAUUGGCCUUAAACAAUUUAGUUAGUUAUUGUCUAUGAAUCUAAUUGGACUGAACAACAUGAUUUUCAUUUGAGAUUUGGUCAGUAUGAUUCUCAGUGCAUAUAAACCAAUUACAUUAAUUUGAUUAGAUUUUAGUUUUCAAUGUGAAAUAGUUAUCAUUUGUAGUGAAUUUGAGGAAAUAGUAAUUAUUUGUAGUCAGGGAUAUUAGUUAAUGUUCAAAAUGAGAGACUAAUUUGUGGUCUUAGAAAAUGAGAAUAAUUUUUGUCAAGUUUUUAUUUAUUUAUUUAUUUGGAUAACCCAAAUGCCAAAAAUAUAUGUUCAUUUCAAUAUUUAAUAACAAUAAAAAUAAAAUUAGAAAAUAAACGCAUUUUUAUUAUGGUUACAUUUUACAUUUUACUAAACUUUUGCCCAUUUUAUUACUAGCCAAAAUAAAAUAAAAUGUAUUGAAAAUUAUUAUUAUUAUUAUUUGUGGUUUUCUCAAUAAUAAAAUAGAACCUAAUAACUUUGUUAUUAAUAGAAUUAAAAUUUAAAAUACUAAAAAAUUAAAGAGGGAAUGAAGAAUGCGAGAAAUGAUAUGAACAAUGUAAGGAUUAUCAUAUUUUUCAUACAAUUUCUCACAUUCUUUGUAAUUUUAUAAUUUUUUUUUCAGUUAAAAAUAUAAUAAUAUUGUUUAUCCAUAUUAAUUAAGCUUGGAAAUGAUGAAAAUUAUCAUUAAUAAAACAUUAAAUAAUUGUAACUAAAUAAUUGUAGAUGGUAGAAUAAGAAGAAUGUGAGGAAUGAUACAUGAGGAAUCCUUACAUUUUAAUUGGAGAGGGUACGAUCACAUACGAAGAAUGUUAUAAAAAAGUAUGAACAAUAUGAAAAUUCUUCACAUUUUUUUUGUCAUUCCCACAUUCUUGGUACCGUCCAAAAUUUUCUAUUUUUUUAUUUUAAGAAUUUUUUUUCCACUUCCCAAAAAUACUUUCUAUAUUUAAUCCAGUCUUCUCCAUAAAAAAAAUUACAAUUAAUAAUACAAUUUUUAAUUAAUAAUUGAUUGAUCAUAAUUCUAAUUUAAUAAUAAAUACUCAUUUUAAGUUAAUUAUAAAUGAUUUUUUCACGAGGUCUUAGUGUUUAAAAUUUAUAUCAUAAAAGGAUACAAUACUUCUUUGAAGACAUGGAUGCAAAACAAGAAGAGGAUAAGAAGGUAAGCAAUCGGAUUGCGGAAACAAGAGAAGUCGCCUACAAUGCUGAGGAUGCUAUUGAAAAUUAUAAUCUCCGUGAUUUUGCUAGUAAAUGGACCCUGAAAAGAAAAUUGACUUGGUUCUGAUUCCUCUAUUUUUUUAAGAAUACCGAGUCGGGUUCUUCUCCUACCCGUAUUGAAUAGAACAUGCUGAGGCAAAUCUUCUUCACUGCUUGCUUUAGAUCGGGAAAAUCGUAUCGAAUGUUGGAUCUGAGAUUGAGAGUAUUCAAAAAAAAAUAUCUCUGACCUUACAAGAAGUUUAGAAACCUAUGGCAUUAAAGCUGUGAAAGUCUGUGAAAGCUUGACUCGGGCCGUGAAUGUCAACAGACGUAAUCUUAUUCUCAUGUUAACAAAGAGGAUGUUGUUGGGUUGGAUGGUGAAUGAUGAAAGUUGUCUGGUUAUUUCUAGUUGCGGUAUGGGUGGUUUGAGGACACGAGUGUUACGAAUUACUUCCAAGGUUUUUCUUGGGCAUAUAUAUAUCCUGACGAUGCCGCGAAAUCAUGUUUGAAAAGUGGCAACAUGUUUCUUGAUAUUAAACCUAAUUUUGCAGUUCAAACAUAUCCAAAUUACAUCCUAAAUUGAUUUGAGUAUCUUUGAUAAUAAUUUUAAACACUAAGAAGGUUAUAGGGGUUUUAAUAUUUGAAAUAUAAAAAUUUUUAAAUGUUAGAAAAGUUAGAAAUAUUUUUUUAAAAUCAUUGUUAAAUGUCCUAUUUAAAAAAAACAUUUAUAAUCCAAAAAGUGUUUUAAAGAAAAACAAGGUAUUUAGUAAAAAUAUUUAAGAAAUAUUUAAAAAAAUUUUAAAAAUCAAUUAUAGUGUUGAAAAAACAUUUAUAAUAUUUUUUAGAUAAAGAUAUGUAAUUAUCCUUAAAACAUUAAGGUUAUGUUUGGUUCCCGGAAAAUACUAAGGAAAGAAAAAAAAUGCAAAGGAAAAUAAUUUUUUUAUGUUUGGUUGUCCUAUGAAAAAUAUCAAAGAAAAUCAAAUAUGAUUAAAACUAAUUAAAAACUUAUGUAUUUUUAAAUUAUUUAAUCUUUAUAUUGAUGAGUUAAAAUAAAUAAAAUGAGUUUAAAGUAACAAAAAAAAUAAUUUAUCAACUUUUAAUCUAUUUUUUUAUUUUCCUUCACUUUUUCUUUUCCUCUGCUUUUCCUUUGUAUUUUCUUUCCCUUGCAUUUUCCUUCAAAGUUUUUGGGAACCAAACAUAGCCUAAAGAGAAAAUAUUUCUGCUAAAAACACUUCAAAUGUACUCGAAUGAUCAUCAAUUGUUUAGCAAAUAAUUUCAUGAUUUUGAAAUGUUACAUGAAUUAUUUGACAAGGACAUAGCACCUACAACUGCAUUAAAAAGCUUGAAAAAUAAGGUCCCUCCAUUUAACAAUGGAAGAAAAUGUGAAAUCAUAUAUCAAAUUAAUAAGCUCAUGUCAUAAAACACAGGUAGUCAUGAAAAUUUUAAUAAAUUAUUUAGUUGAAAAGUCAAAUCUUCUUUGUGUACACUCAAAGGUCUUGCGUUCCAUGAUUCAAAUUUUAUUUAUUUUUAUCUUAAAAUAAGAAGUUGAAGUUAAAAUAAUUUAGGUCAUUGAUUAAUCUUCAAACAAUUAAUAAUAUUUGUCAUUUAAGUUUUUAGUAAAUGAUGUUUUUAAUUAAUAUUGUUAUAAUGGAUUUAUAUAAUCUUCAUAAUUGAAUUUAUUUAUUAAUUAAAUAAGAUUUCUUUGGAUCUCUCUUGUAAUACCAAAUAUGGAAAUAACUAAUAUUGAGAGUUUUGGAUCAGUGAUUGAUGUGAUACUUAUGUGAUUCGAAGCUAUAUUAAACAUAAAUUUUAAAAAACGACUUAAAAAUUAUAUUUUUAUAUUCCAAUGGCUCUCAAGAGACACGUGACAUGUUUUUUGCACAUAAUUAUUUCAAUUUAUCAUAUCUUUUUUUUUUAACUUGAAAUUAUGAUCCGUUUGAAACAUUAGAUUCAUGACUUCUUGAGUAUCAAAAUCAUAUGUAAUUUGGUGUGAUAAGAGGGUUUAUGGUUGGACAUUUGAAUCCAAACUUCCAAUAUUGAUCUCUUAUAGGAUAUUUUGCUUAUAAUUUUUCUUUAAAAACGACACAAAGAAAAACUGCAAAUGAGAGAGGAGAAAGCCAUAAACAUGGCUUGUCACAUUUAUUGCAACACAUUGCACACACGUACACACGGAUAAGAGUCCUGGGCCACCACGUGUCACCAAAUCAGAGACUCUGAGGGCAUUAUUUACUACAACAUAAACAAGAAAGCAAAAAACAUAGAAUUACAAACACACCCCUCUCUUCCAGCUGCUGGCCGUCACCUCCAUUCACAUGAUGACUUGUAGGCACGAGUCCCAAGGGUAGGUAGUUAGCGACUUAGCAGUGGCGGUGGUGGGGAGGGCCGUGCGGACCGGGAUGACAAUGAGGUCCCGGAGGAGGAGGGCAGUGGUGAGGAGGGCCGUGGUGAGGAGGGCCGUGGUGAGGAGGGCCAUGGUGAGGAGGGCCGUGGUGAGGAGGGCCGUGGUGAGGAGGGGGGCACAGCUGAGGGGGCGGCGGACCGUGGUGGUGGGGAGGUGGUGGACCAUGGUGCGGAGGGCAAUGGGGCGGGGGCGGAUGUCCGUGGUGGUGGUGGUGGUCGUGGUGCGGGUCGUGUGGUGGAUGAUGCAUCUUCUCUUCUUCUUCGAGGAAGUUGUGUUGUGGCGAAGGGUUGAAGGGAGCUUCUCAAUUUAUAGAAGCAAAGCUAACUUUCAUACUAUGUCUAGUCUUUUUUUAACUGCGAGUCAAACCUUCAUUUUUUUAUUUUUUAGACGGUGUCACCUACUAUAAUUAUUUAUUUAUUAAUGUAGAAAAUCCGCGUGAGGAUAAAAGCCAUGUGAGUUCUGAUGGGGCAUUGUCAGGGCCCCUGCAAGUCUCCGUCACCUCCGCAAUUCAAUCUCGCAUUCACAUUGAUGUAUUAGGGUUUUGGCCCACAAUAAUUAAUAAAAAAAAUCAUAUUAAUACUGACAUGUAAAAUGAUUCUCAAUUUAAUCCUUCUUUAUACAUGAAUUGUCGCCACCAUAAACCUUUUUUUUCCGAAGCUUCUUUUCUAUUGAUGUAUUAGGGUUUUGGCCCACAAUAAUUAAUAAAAAAAAUCAUAUUAAUACUGACCUGUAAAAUGAUUCUCAAUUUAAUCCUUCUUUAUACAUGAAUUGUCGCCACCAUAAACCUUUUUUUUCGAAGCUUCUUUUCUAUUGAUGUAUUAGGGUUUUGGCCCACAAUAAUUAAUAAAAAAAAUCAUAUUAAUACUGACCUGUAAAAUGAUUCUCAAUUUAAUCCUCCUUUAUACAUGAAUUGUCGCCGCCAUAAACUUUUUUUUUUUUAAGCUUCUUUUCUAUUUUUCUAAUUAAUAAUUACCUAACCAUGUGGCCAAUCUAGAUUAAAUUAUACAUUUUUUAAAAUCAAAUAAUAUUUGUAACAUUUGGCGUACAAUCCUAUAAAUAUUAUCUCAUUUAGAUUUAAAAUUGACAAUAUUUAUACAGUUGGAUGCAAGUUGUUAUUAAGAGUUUAUUUAGCUCCAUGAGGGAUAUUUGUCUAUUUGACAUAUAAUCUCAUUUAAAAGAUGUUUGUAAUAUACUAUAUUGGAUGUGAAAGAAAAUUAUUUACACAAUAUAAAUAUGAACUCCUUUAAAUCACUUAGACAUAUUUUGAAGUCAUAAGAACCCCUUUAAGCUCAAGAUGAACAUUAUUUAUACGAUUAAGUGCGAAUUAUUACAAAUUAUAUUAAAGUCAGUCCAAUAAUCCUCAAUUUCAAUGUAGGGGGUUUGUUUGGAACUCUUUUUAAAAAUAAAUUUAUGAUAUUAAAAAGUAGAAAAUUGAAAAAUAAAAAAUAAUGUUUGGAGAACUUUGGAUGAAAUUAGGAUGUUUGAAUUCUUUUUCUUGUUUUAAUUUAUUUUUAAAAAUAAUUAUAUAAAUAAAGAAUAAUUUAAAACAAAGUACAGUAAAUAAAAACUAUUUUCAAAAAAUAAGAAAACCAUGCUGAGAAUAUCGUAAGUUUUGAAAUAAAUUUGUCUUUAAAAACUAUUUUAUAAUCUUUGUAAAACAAAAGUUUUUUUUGACUACUUGAAACGUAGAUUGCAAGCUUAUGUCCUACGCGAGGAGGGAAACCUUCUAGAACUCGUGGACCCAAUUCUCGGUUCUAACUACUCAGAAGAAGAGGCAGCAAGGCUGCUGAAUUUUGCUCUCUUAUGCACCGGUCCAUCUCCCACUCUCAGGCCAAUAUCCGUGUCUUCUGUGUUGUCCAAGGCAAAAUCGCUGUCCAAGCACCAAUAGUCAAGAAGUGCUCAAUGAACCAGGACAUGAGGUUCAAAGCCUUUGAGAGGCUGUCACAGGACAGCCUAUCUCAUGUCUCGGCAUUCUCCCAAGAAAGCCAGGUGCAAGGCAGCAUAUCAAUGAACGGGCCAUGGAGCUGCAUAGAAAACUUGGAUUCUCUAUGGCAUAAAUUUCCUGGGAAUUCAUCCUUAAACUCACUUGCAUUUAUAAAAUAAUAAUUUAAUGAUAAAAAAACGGAGUUCAACUUUUCAAAGCUUUUCCUCUUACAUCCCCUCCCCCUUCUCCUCUUAAAUGCUCGAAUUUAUUCAAUUAAGAGCUCUUUGAUAGUAAUUAUGAAAAAUAUUUUUAAUAUUUUCAAUACUUAAAUUUUUUUAUCAUUUAAGCGUUAAAAGUUCAACUUUUCAAAGCUUUUCCUCUUACACCCACACCCCCACAUUCCCCUCUUAAACGCUCCAACUCAUUCAAUUAAGAGUCCAUUUGAUAGUGAUUAUGGAAAACAUUUUUAAUAUUUUCAAUGCUUAAAAUUUUUUAUUAUUUAAGUAUUAAAAAUACUAAAAACAUUUUUUAAAAUAACUUCCAAACACCCUCUUAGUAUAAAGCAAACUAGUCAAUCAAGAGUUGCUAUUGACAAAAAAUUUUAAAAAUAAGUAAUGAGCAAUAAGUUGAAAACAAACAAUCUAAUGUUUGAAAACAAAUAAUAUUCAAAUUAAGUUAAAAAAAAAAAAAGCAAAUACCAUUGUGAUGUUUGAUAAAAUUUAAUACUUAUUAUUUAAUGGUUUAAGUCAAAUCAUUCUUAAGAUAUUAACUUAAAAUUUAUUAUUUACUUUUUAUUUUAAUCAUUAAGAUUGUUUGACAGAAUUAACUUAAAAUUUAUUUUUAAUCGUCAAAUUAAUAUAUUUACCUUUGUUAAUUUUAAUUAAAAUUAAUCUUCAUUCAUUUUAACUUAUUUAUUUUCAUUAAUUUUAAGCAAUAAAUUUCUUUAUAAAACAUCUAUAUUUAAGGUAUCAUAGAUACAUAAAAUAACCAUAACAUAUUUAUUAUAAGAAAUAAAUCAUGGAUGUGGAAUCAUAAUUUUAAAAUAUAUUCUUAUUGGCAUGAGCAAAAAAAAAAAAAAAAAAAUAAAUUAACUAUUUUAACUUAAUCCUUAAAGUUAAACAUGAUUAACUUUAAGUUGUAAUAUUAAAUUGUUUUAUCAAACAUGAUUAAUUUGUUUAAUGACUUAAAUUAAGUUGUUAAGUUGAUUUACCAAACAUCCUCUAGUUAUUGACUUUAAACUUAUUGCUUAAUUUUUAUUUUAAAAUAUUAAGGUUGUAUGAUGAAAUUCAUUUAAAGUUUAUUCUAUAUCAUCAAAUUAGCAUAUUUACCCUUGUUAAUUUUAACUAAUAUUUAUAUUUUCAUUAAUGUUAAGAAAUCAAUUUAUUCAUUAAAAAUUAAUAUUUAAAGUAUUGUACAUAUAUAAAAUAACUACAAAAAUAUUUACCCUCCAAAGAUGAGUUGCAAAUAUAGAGUUAUAGUUAUAAAAUAUAUUUUACUAAAUAUGGGGAAUAUGAGAUAAAAGAGAUUUAAGAUUAAUAAUAAAUUGAUUAUUUUAAUUUAAUACUUAAUUUUAAAAAAUUUAAGUAGUAAUAUUAAGUUAUUUUACCAAAUAUGUUUAAUUUACUUAAUGACUUAAAUUGAUUAUUUAAGUCAUAUUAAAUCAUUAAAUUAAUUUUUUAAAUACCCCUUAAAGAGGUAUUUAUUUAUUUUUACUUAAAUAUAAAUAUAACUUAAUUUUAGAUACAACUUAAUAGUAUUAAAUAUUAAAUUAUUUAUUUUUUAUUAUUUUAUUUCUAUUAAGUAUUAAAUAUUAAUAAGGCGAGGGUCAUAUUAAAAUCAUGUUUUAAUUGUUUCAAAAAGUUAUUUUUAAUAUUAAGGAAAAAGUCAAAAUAUUUUGGAUUUUUCUAUUUAGUCAAUUUUUUUUUAAAAAAUAAGUAAUAAGUAAAAAAAAAAAUUAAAAACAAAUCAUUUAAAGUCUAGAUGCAAAUUGCAUUCAACAUUAAGUUAAAAAAAAAAAACGAAUACCACCUCGAACUCUUAUUAUCAAACUCAAAUAGUUAAUUUUUAAUGCUUUUUGGUUUGCAUGCCCAAUUUUAAGUUAGGCAUUUUAUAUUUUUCUUAACAAAAAAAAAAUGAUUUUCUAAAUUAAAUUGAAUGGCAUUGACCUAAACCAAUUUAGUUAGUUAUUGUCUAUGAAUCUAAUUGGACUAAACAACUUGAAUUUCAUUUGAGAUUUGGUCAGUAUGAUUCUCAGUGCAUCUAAACCAAUUACAUUAAUUUGAUUAGAUUUAGUUUUCAAUGUGAAAUAGUUAUCAUUUGUAUUCAAUUUGAAUUUAUUAGUUAAUGUUCAAAAUGAGAGAUUAAUUUGUGGUCUUAGAAAAUGAGAGUAGUUUUUGUCAAGUUUUAUUUUUAUAUUUGGAUAACCCAAAUGCCAAAAAUAUAUGUUCAUUUCAAUGUUUAAUAACAAUAAAAAUAAAAUUAGAAAAUAAACAUAUUUUUUAUUAUGGUUACAUUUUACAUGAACUUCUUUAUUUAUUUAUUUAUUUUAUAGCCAAAAGUUACAUUUAACUCAUAAAAACAUGAUACAUUUUAAUAUUUACAUUGAAAUUAAAAGUGGAGGAAAAAAUCUUAAAGUAUUUUUUAUAUUUUUUAUUUUAAUUAUUAUUAUUAUUUAAGAUGUCAAUAGUCUUAAUUUUAUUGUUAAAAAAUUAUUUUUACAAAAGUUUCUCAAACAUAUUUGUUAAGCAAGAAAGAAAACUUUUCUUGUUUAUAAAAUAAAAUAGAAAAUUGUUAGAAAAGAGUAAAGACAAUUUCCUUUAUGUUUGGUUAGAACGGAUGAGGCAAAAAGGAGCAAAUAAGAAGGGUAAAACCGUCAGAACAAAUUGGUUAUUUCUAUUUGCGGUAUGGGUGGUUUGGGGAAGACCACUUUGCCCAGAAGGUUUAGCAUGACACCAGUGCAACGAAUUACUUCCAAGGUUUUUCUUGGGCAUAUAUAUAUAUAUAUAUAUAUAUCCCGACAAUGUCAAGCAAAAGAUGUCCAAGUAAUUUUAUUUGAUCUCCUCCGUCCAAACAAAAGUAAAGAGGAAGAGAUGUUACAAAUGUGAUAGACUGAACUUGUUAGGAGAGUGUACGAAGUCCAAAUAAGAUAAAGAUAUUUAAUCAUUCUCAAUGAUGUUUGGACUAAAAAUGCUUGGAAAAGCCUAAGACUUGCAUUCUUAUUGAAACAAGGAGGUUCCAAAAUACUGCUCACUACACGGAAUAAAAAUGUAGCCAUGCAUGCAGAUAUAAAAGGCUUUAUUUAAGAAACUGUGUAGCCAUGUAUGCAAAUACAAAAGACUUCAUUUAUGAACCUCAGUGCUUGACUCUUGAAAUGAGUUUGGAGCUGCUCAAGAAAGCAAUAUUUCUAAGAGGCAGUCCAGGUAUGUAUCUUGAGUCACUCCGCUCUCUAUAUAAAUUGAGCUAUAUUCCAUUAUUAAUUUUUUUGUGACAUAAGGCUUCCAUUGAAUUUCAAUUGUUUAGACAAUUAAUAUCAGCUAGUUUGUUCUUUCUUUGAUUUUCAGAUUUUACACGGGAAAGUCUAAGGAAGCAAAUUGUGACGGACUUAGGUUUCUCCUAAACUCACAUGCAAUAUUUAAACAAUUCAAUACAUUUGAUGUUGUUAAGUCGGUCUUCUCGUUGUACUUAACUUUUUAGGCUAAGUUAGGCACACGACUUGAAAUUUAAGAAAACCAAAGGCAACACUUAAACUAAAGGAAACUUGUAUUACACAAAUGAAUGCUUACAAUGACUAGAUGCUCUCACUUGUUUGGUGUCUUGAUCAAAUGAGACUCACCUAUUUAUUGACACUUUAAGAACUUAAAAUCUUGAAGGGUUCCUUACAAAUCAAGAAUUCUUUAGAACAUCCUACACAAGUCCUAUGCAUAAGUAUUUACAAAAAAUCUUUGAAACUCUCCAGCUCCAUACUCUUCUCUUGUCUUCUAGCUUAGUGUAGAGAUGCGUGAAUAUAUAUAUAUAUAUAUAUAUAUAUAUAUAUAUAUAUAUAUAUAUAUAUAUAUAUAUAUAUAUAUAGAAAGAUUCCUUAUUUUUCAAUCCGAGCCACCUAAGCUUCAACUAGAUGCUUUAUGUAAAAUUAUUUGUAUAUGCACUACAUCAAUGUAAAAGGUUGGAUCUCAUAUAAAUUUUCCUGUCUUAUAGUUUUAAUUUGAUAAAAUUAAAAUGGUAAUAAAACUUCAAUUAAACUAAAUCUGUGGACAAAUACUUUACAAUAAAAUUAUUUAAUAAUAACUAUUAAGUACACAAGUGUAUUAAAAUUAAAAGGAAAACUAGUUAUGAUACGAAGAAGAGAUUAAAAAACAGUUAAUGAUUUAUUGUCGAUGGUCCACCAUUGACAAUCAGCAACAAGUGGAAACGGCCCUGUACUUUUCAGGGUACUAUGAUACUAAUAUGAAACUUGAAAUGAAAAAUAAUAAUGAUGAUGAUAAAAAAAUUAUAAUUUUUGUUGAGAUAUAAGGAAUGUUGAGAUAUUAUGAUAUUAGUUGUUCUUUCCUUAUAUCAUUCUUUCAUUGUAUUAUUCUUUCCCAUUCUUAGACUGGUGAUUAUCCUCUAUAUAUACUCUGUAGAUGAACGAAUGAAAUAAUCAAUGAAAAACUACCAUUCAUCAAUUUGAAGAUGGUAUCAGAGCCAUGAAGCUGAAAUCCUGGAUAUUUUGUCAGUAAGGCCAACCAUCGCCCCUCCUUCGCGAUAAAAAAAAUAAAAAAAAAAUGAAUGAAAAAAAUACUAUUGUUUUUCAAUCUGAAGGUACUUUUAAUCCAUGAAUUAUUUUAACUGAAUCAAACUAUGAUAUUUAGUCACAACUCGUGGAGAUGCAUAUUGUCGAAUGGGAAAAACUUUCCUACAUUCGAGGUAAGACAAAUCCACCAAAAGAGUCAGAAGAUGGAUAUGAAAAAUGGUAUGCUGAAAAUCAAAAGGUGAAAAGAUGGUUGUUAAUGUCCAUGAGUCCAGAAAUUAUGAAACGUUACUUAAGCUUACUGUAGACCCCUAUUUGGGUGCUAUUUCAUGCAGCUCAUUCUGGCCACAUGUCACUCCCGGAUUAGUCAAUAUGGGAUCACUAUAGUGGAAUUGAUGGACUAAUCAGGGGAAGACACCUGUAAAGGGAAAGAAUCUUCUAGAAGGGAAAAAGGUUUUCUGUUAUGGGAAGGUGGCAGAGCAGCUGCAGGGGGAAGAGCAUUUUUGGCUGCAGGGUGAUGGUUACUGGCAGAGAGCUGCAGGAGGGCAGGUGCUUUUGGGGACGUGUUGGAGGAGGCCGUUAGGGAUUUUUUUUGGAGAGUUUAGAGAGACAUUCUUGAGGGGCAAGCUGGAUAUGCAGAGAGGGGAGAGAAAAACGAAAGGAAAAAUCAGAAGAGAGAGGUACUUGGGCUGCUGAAAGGAUUGCCAAGGGAGUCCAGAGGGAGUUUCCAUUAGAGAGGGAGUUGAGAGCUGUUAUUGAGAUAACAGAGGAGGGUUUUUGACCAAGGGUAGAGGAAGCUUAAGUUGCAAAGGAGUGAUAGCAGAGAGCUUUGGGAAAAGAAGUGGUUCCUGGAGCUGCAGAGGAGGUUUUUCUGGAGAGUAUUCCUGGAGCUUAGGCUACUACGGAGGGAAGGCUUAGAGGAGAUAUUCUCUGAUAGCAAGAAGAGGAAACUUUCAGCGCAUUCGCGAUUGCCGCCCAGGUACGCAUCUAUUCAUAUUUUGCUCAUUCUUUAUACAUGCUUUGCUUCUCACAUGUGCAUGAUCACUCUGAGUAUUCAUUGAUUCCCGCAUCAAUUGCUAUGAUUGCUUCAUUUUAUUAUUAAAGACCCGACUUUAUGGACUUAGAGGGGUGCUACGGUCGUUACCGUAUCUUCCCGAUAAGUAACCUGACCCCCGAACCCGAUCCGGUUUUUCGUAGAUUACCUUUUCCAAAAUAAGGAGUCGCACUUAGGGUUUUCUUUCUUAUUUUGUUUACCCUUUUAAAAAAUAAAAAAAUAAGUGGCGACUCCAAGUCAUUUUUCUUAAUCAAUAAAAAUCAUUUUUCAAAUUAAAAUCGAGCUCGCCAUCAAGUGGGAAAAGCAUUGAGCCGAAAUACGGGGUCCACGAAAUCGGCCAUCUUCUUGUCAUGUCAGUUCAGUUUCUAGGACCGCACCUAUACAAUCGGUCAUCAUCUUAUUAGUUUGAGUCGGGGCCGCACCUAUACGAUCGGUCAUCUUCCUGUCAUGUCAGUUCAGUUUCUGGGACCGCACCUAUACGAUCGGUCAUCAUCUUAUCAGUUUGAGUCAGGGCCGCACCUAUACGAUCGGUCAUCAUCUUAUCAGUUUGAGUCGGGGCCGCACCUAUACGAUCGGCCAUCUUCCUGUCAUGUCAGUUCAGUUUCUAAGACCGCACCUAUACGAUCGGUCAUCAUCUUAUCAGUUUGAGUCGGGGCCGCACCUAUACGAUCGGUCAUCAUCUUAUCAGUUUGAGUCGGGACCACACCCAUAUAGAUCGGUCAUUCAUUCUUCCUAUCAGGUCAGUUCGGCGUCCAGGUCUUUGCUUCAGUAUGACAUUCAGGGUCACAUUUCCAUUUUGGGCGUUCAGAUUCAUUUUCUUCCCCUUGUUACCUUAUGCUUAUCGUUUCAUCAUUGCUCUUCUAGACUUCCCCUUCCAUUGCACAUGACAUAGUUCUUUGAGUUCGUGACACAUACUUUUGUCAUGUUAUUAGGCACCCUACACCCAGCAUUCUCGUAUAGCUCACCUAGGGCAGUCUCCUUUGAGCGUAGUCUUUUCUAUACUCUAGGGUGGUUCAACCGUUACUCAUCUUUGACAUCGAUCCUUGAGUCACUUUUGGAGACGUCUUAGAAGGAGCUUGGAUCCUUAGUGUGGCUUCAGAGGCAUUUUGAGACAUCUUUUUCUUUUAAGAUUAGAGCCUUUGUGUUCAUCUGUUAGUCUGAGUGAGUUUAUAUCUCACUAGUGUCCCUAUGGGGGUCUCCUUGGUUUUUCGGUAGAGUUCACUUCAUUGCACUCACUAUUCACACUUACUUUUCACUCCAGUGUUCAUGUUCUUCACACUCGUGAACUCUACCGAAGAGGGGCAUAUUUGUAGACCCCCUUUUAGGUCAUUCCUACCUUGCAGCUCAAUUUAACCACGUGGAAGAGCCUUGGUCAGCCACGUGUCAACACCUGAGAAGCCAUGAGAGAAUCAUAAUAGUGGUUUGGGGAGCCAAUCAGGAGGUGACGCGUACAUGGGAAUAUACUGGCCGUUAGAAGAGCAGAUGCUGGCAGCUGGUGGCAGCUAGAGGUGAGGUGCUUUUGGAGAGGUUUGCCAGCUGCAGGAAGGGUGUCGUCUGGCAGAGUGGAAGGAGGUACCUGGGCUGCUGGCAGGAGCUCUCUGAGCAGGCCGUUGGAGAUAUUUUGAAAAAGGAGGCUUUUCUGAGGGUCUCCAGGAUGGUCUGGGGAGAGGCGGGGGAGAGAUUUUUUUCAAGGAUAUUUUAGUUUCAGAGUUUUCCGGAGAGAACAGAGAGCUAGAGGGAGAGAAGAGAAAAGAAAAAGAAAGAAAUCAGAGGAGAGGGAGAUACCUGAAAAAGGAAGAGAAAAUGAGAGGAGAGCUUUAGAAAGAGGAGGAUAAGAGUUCUUGAGAGUUGAAAAAAAGGCUUAGAGGGGAUUAGCUAGAGAAGAGGGGAGAGCUUUCACAGGAGGUCAAGACAAAGGUGAGAGCAGAGUGUGAUAUUUUUUUGAGGAGGCUACCGGAGAUAUUUGGGGGAUUCUUUGCUUUCCGGUGAGGCAGGGAGAUAUUUGAGAGAACAUCUUCUUAGCUAGAAGAAAAGAACGGAGACAGAGGAGGGAGGAAGCAUCCUCAGGUACCUUCAUCGUGGAUUCCCUGUUAGUUUCUAUCGGUAUGUUUUUCUAUUCUGUUUCCGCUGAUUCUUAGAUGAUGUUUAUUGAUUAGGAGUGAGCAUGUUGAUAUUUUGCUCAUGGUCUUUUUGUAGUUUGAUUUGCUCUUGUUUUGUUCUUUUCAUGAGAUAUUUCCGUAACAGUGUUCUAUCUUUUAUUUGAUACUCGUUUGAUUUCACCCACCCUCACGAGCUCAUUGAUUGAUAUAUGAAAUGAGGCUUGAGUGAGUUCAUGUUGUUCCUAUUGCUUGCACUCUGUUUUUGCUGUCCGCCCUGUUUCUGGUACCCAUACCUGGAGUGCAUUAUUUUUCUCAUUUCUACCUUUGGAAGUAAGGAAUUACAGAGGGUCAUUCUCAGUAGGAGAGUGCUUGGUGAACACUUAGGCACAAAGAUGACAUGUUCAUCAGGGUAGGAAGGCCCUGAGUGUGCAGUUGCUGGGUUGAUUCAUUGCCUGAUAUUAUUGCCAUGCGACACAAGAAAGGUUGUCUCAUCAUUUGAAAAGAAUCUUGCCUGGCAAAAGGCUCUUUGACUAUGGGACUGACGAGUCUUAACCGGAGUUAUGCUCAUCCGUGCAUGGUUAUGAAAUACCAGAUGUGACUGUGUAACAUUGAGGUGUCUCACCUGUGGUAUUGAAGGAGCUAGAAACAGAAAUAUUAGAAGCCUAUGAGCAGGCUCCGGAGUCAGAUAAAUGCUGCGCGGGGUAUACCGUCUAAACAAUCAUCAUGGAUCGGGCCUUGAAAAUUCUUGGGUCAUGGCAAGCCUAGCACCAGAAGGUUUAUGAUUUGACGCUCGUAAUUGUGAUGCUAAAACGGAUGAAUGCGUUUAAUGGAUGGACGGAAUUUCUUCAUAUCUCAUGAUGAGAUCUUAAGAUAAUUUUGAUGCUAUGGGUUUGCAAGAAAGCCGUCUCCGAGCAGCCUGUUUGUGAAUUGGUAGAAUGUCAAACCUCGAUUGCAUGUAGCUUGUAAUCCCGGAGCAGAAUAAUUCACAAUGAGAGGGAAAAUGGAGGAAUUUCUGAUAGACCUAAUGUUGCUGUGGGUGUCUUCCAUAAGUAUUUUUGAAGUCGCAGGACUCUUAUUUCUUGAAUAUCCAGGUCUGGUCGCCUAUUCUUACAGACAUCUAAGGAGCUUGAGAGGAUGGAAAUAGGAUUGCCGGAACGUGGCAGGAUGGUGAUAGGAAACAUUCACCACUGUCAUUACUGUUGAGGGCCACGUGUUGACCAUUAUAUCUUUGCUUGAACUAUUACUGUUUCUGCUAAUUGAGGUGUCAUGCAGCACUGAAUCUCCACACCCAGGUUGAGGUUUAGAUCUUGGGGGACUGCCGAAACUUGCCGGAAAAAAUAUGACAAGGUAACCUCAUACAAACCCUUCUCUCAUAUUAUCCAUCUUCAUUCUUCCCACAUCACCUGCCCAUGUCCUCUCAUCACCUUUCCAAUUUCACACCUCCCCGCACCCGUGACCUUACUCGCAGCUAAACCCAUAAAUCCUUUCUCUCACUACUUCCCUUCCUCCAUCUCUGCAUGCAUGGCUGCUCUACCUCUUUGUGGCGAGACCUAGAAUAUAAAAGCAUCCGAUUGGAAAGUUUGCAAGCUGGGCUUAAAUGGUUUUCCAGAGGAUAAAUCCUUAAAUGGACCCUGUUCCCGUCCGUCGCUCUCGAUCUUCGUGGAAAAUGAAAGCGGGGUCACAUUUGAAACUUCCAAAGUGUCUCAUCUCAGUGCACCAGAAAUGGGUUUUCUAAAGGACAUGUGGAAUCCAUGGUGAUCUCUUGAUAUUGGAUCUUCACGGGAAUAAUAGGAUUGGUCUGUCACGGACCUUUCCUACUGUUGCAGUUCAACAUAAUUGCACCCCUGGGACCCACUUGUGCAUGAACUGCAUGGCCAUCUUCAGGCCACCUGUCUUUCUGCCAUUGCUCUCUCUUAUUUCCUUAUUAUUUAAUUUUGAAAAUAAUUCUUCCAGACCCCAUUUUGUAAAUAACCUUUUUCAAAUUGUGGUUUUUCAAAUAAUUCCAACUCUCCUUAGUUUUUCGUCCUUAGUUUUUUUUUAGGUCCCCAAAAUCACUUUUUUAAUCAAAUUUGCUUCCAAUUCCUAUUCGGCAAGCAAUUUUCAAAUUUAUUUUGGUAUUUUAAAACGUUUUAAAAUAAAUAUGAAUUUAAAUUCCGUAAUCCGGACUAAUGGAAUUUAUGGAAUUAAUUCAUGCAAAAUAAAACGGGCUUUGGUGGGGGCCCCACAUAGGUGAUUUUAUAAUUGAUUGAUUGAUUGUUUGACUGAUUUACUUAUCAUGCAUGAUUGAUUUAAUCUAUUCCUUGAUAUGCGCUUCACUAUAUUUGUUCAUUGUUCACUGAUCCUGCUUCAUGAUAGCGCAUUUGUCACUGAGGAUCCAAGUACGCACCUACUUUCACUCUGGUAAUUAUCCUCUAUUGCAUAUUCUGACACUCAUAUGUGCAUGAUUGAUUCAGGUAUUCAUUGAUUUCUUUAUUAGAUGCCACGAUUGCUUCAUUUUAUUAGUAGAGACCCGACUUUAGGGACUUAGAGGGGUGUCUUUUACCGUACCUUCCCGAUAAGUAAUCUGACCCCCGAACUCGAUCCGGUUUUUCGCAGACCACCUUUUCCAAAACAAGGAGUCACACUUAGGGUUUUUCUUUCUUAUUUUGUUUACCCUUAAAAAAUAAAACAAAAAUAAGUGGCGACUCCAAGUCAAUUUUCAAACAAUAAAUAAAAAAUCAUUUUCAAAUAAAAAUCAAGCUCACCAUUCGAGUGGGAAACGCAUUGAGCCGAAAUGCGGGGUCCACAUUUACCCACUGCUCAAGAAAUUUGGAGUGCAUUAUCAAAGGUCUUCUAUGAUGGAAGUGAUGAAUUACAAGUUUUCACUUUGAAUCAAAAAGCCUUCACUGCCAAACAAAAUGGCAGGUCUCUUUCUGAAUAUCAUGGAGAGCUAACUGAAAUUUUUUGCGAAUUAGAUCAUCGGGAUAAGGUAGUCAUGAAAGACUCUGACAUUGCAGCAUACUAGAAAUCCCUUGAACAACAACGAGUGCACAUCUUUCUUGUUGGAUUGGAUGGUGACUUUGAGCAAGUUUGAGGAGAGAUUUUAGGCAAAGAUCAUCUUCCCAAUUUGGAAGAAUGUUAUACACUGAUUCAACGAGAGGCAGUGCGUUAUGCUAGUAUGAAAGUAGAAUCUGACAACCUUGACACCUCAACUAUGGUAGUCCAACAGCGAUCAACCUAGAAUUGGCAUAACCAAUCUAAGACCAACCAUCCUAAGACAGACCCUAAUAUUAAUAAGUCAACCUUCAAAUGCACUCACUGCAAUAAGACUGGUCAUACCAAGAGUCGUUGCUUUGAAAUUGUGGGAUAUCCAGACUGGUAGGAUCAUAAUCGUGAUCAACGGAAGAAGGAUUCCAAGAAAACCUCGACUGCAGCUGUUGCCGAAAUAAAAACAGAGGCUAAUGUUGCUAAGAAAGCCUCUGCAUUGGUAGCCGCUACAGAUUAUGGUGGUAAGUUUUUAAAUACUUCUACACCUGUUAUUAAUAGUGCAUGGAUAAUUGAUUUUAGUGCUACAGAUCAUAUGACUUUUGAUUCUAGACAGGUCUCACCCCUUAGACAUUCCCUACAAAAAAUUGUUUCCACAACCAAUGGUAACACAACCCCAGUCAUUGGGGAAUGAUCCUUAACUCUUACUGAUACUUUGAAUUUGGAUUAUGUUUUAAUUGUUCUAUCUUUAGAUUACAAUCUUUUAUUAAUUUCUCAAAUCAGUACAACCUUAUCUUGUAUUGUCAUUUUUUGGCCUGAAUUUUGUAUUUUUAAGGACAUCCAAAUAAGAUAGACGAUUGAUUGUGGUAUUAAGCAGGGAAAACUCUAUUACUUGGACUUGCAAUCAAAGGAUUCAAAUAAGUUACGACAAGCCUUGAUGACAGAUGGAUCUGAGGGGGAGAAGAAAAAGUUUGAAAUUUGGUUGUGGCAUCGACGUUUGGGGCAUGCUUCAUUUGGUUAUUUAAAAAAAUUGUUUCCUAGUUUGUUUGCAAAGAGUGAUAUUUCUGGUUUCCGUUGUGAUAUUUGUGAAUUGGCUAAAAGCCAUCGUGCUUCAUUUCCAUUAAUUUUGAAUAAAAGUCUGUUUCCUUUUAUGGUUAUACAUUCUGAUGUUUGGGGCCCAUCCAAAGUCUCAACUUUGAGUGGUUCGUGUUGGUUUGUUACUUUUAUUGAUGAUUGUACCAGAAUGACAUGGUUAUACUUGAUGAAGACCAAAGAUGAAGUGAACUUGUUGUUUCAAAAAUUUCAUAAAAUGAUUGAAACUCAGUACAAUGAAAAGGUUCGAGUUCUACGUAGCGAUAAUGGUGGAGAAUAUCAGAGUUCUAAUCUUCAAAAGUAUUUGGAAGGACAUGGCAUCAUUCAUCAGACUACUUGUUCCAAUACACCCCAACAAAAUGGAGUCGCUGAACGGAAAAAUCGUCACUUGUUAGAGGUUGUUUAUGCUUCCUUGAUAGCAGCAAAAAUACUGAUAUCUUAUUGGGGAGAAACAAUCACAUCUGUCGCAUACUUGAUCAAUCGGGUACCUUUUAGCUCAAUUAAAUUCCAAACACCUCUCCAAGCUCUUAGUAAUGUCGUAGUUGCCCCAACCUUCCCAAAUCUACUCCUCGUGUUUUUGGUUGCGUGGCAUUUGUGCAUCUACACAAACACCAACGCACCAAGUUAACUUCCCGUGCAUUGCAAUGUGUGUUUGUUGGAUAUGCAUUGCACAAAAAGAGAUAUCGAUGCUACCAUUCUCUAACUCGACGAAUGUUUAUUACAAUGGAUAUGGUGUUUCAUGAAGAUUCGAUGUAUUUUUCAUUUGAGUCUGAACUUCAGGGGAAGUACCAGAAGAAAAUUCAGACUCUCGAUUAUGAUUAUCAUAUCUCUGAGGAGGAUGAAUCUGGACAAUCUGAACUAGUGAACCAGGAAGCAGGUGAGUUGGAUAUGAGUGGUACAACUUUGGAACCAAGUAGUAAUGACCACNNNNNNNNNNNNNNNNNNNNNNNNNNNNNNNNNNNNNNNNNNNNNNNNNNNNNNNNNNNNNNNNNNNNNNNNNNNNNNNNNNNNNNNNNNNNNNNNNNNNAAUAGAGGUAUUCCUAAACCCACAUAUGAACUUGAAUUGUCUACCAAAGUCAAAUAUCCCAUCAACAACUAUGUGUCUAACCAUCGUUUGUCUGAAUCAAAUAAGUCAUUUGUAAAUCAAUUAUCUACUUUAGUUAUUCCUAAUAGUGUGCAGGAAGCCUUAGCUGAUCCAAGGUGGAAAGCAGCCAUGAAUGAAAAGAUGAAAUCAUUGCAGAAGAAUGAAACAUGGGAACGCGUAGAAUGUCCACCAGGAAAGAAGCCAGUUGGGUGUCGUUGGAUCUAUACUGUGAAGUACAAGGCAGAUGGUAGUAUUGAACGAUUUAAAGCAAAAUUGGUAGUAAAAGGGUACACUCAAACUUAUGGAAUUGACUACACAGACAUUUGCACCUAUAGCUAAGAUCAACACAAUUCGAGUAUUACCGUCUUUAGCUGCAAACCUGGAUUGGCCAUUACAACAGUUUGAUGUGAAAAAUGUCUUUAUGCAUGGCGAGUUAUCUGAAGAAGUAUAUAUGGAUCUUCCACCAGGAUACAUGGUGUCAGAAAAGCAAUAUCAGAAGGUGUGCAAAUUGAAGAAGUCAUUGUAUGGGUUGAAGCAAUCCCCGAGAGCAUGGUUUGGAAGGUUCACAAAGUCAAUGAGAGCUUUUGGUUAUCGUCAAAGUAAUUUAGAUCACACUUUGUUCCUAAAAAAGCAACAUGGUAAGAUUACAACACUCAUCGUAUAUGUGGAUGACAUGGUAGUUACAGGAAAUGAUCCUGAAGAAAGAAAAGCUUUAUAAAAUUAUCUAUCUAGAGAAUUCGAAAUGAAAGAUCUAGGUCAUCUGAAAUGCUUUCUUGGGAUUGAAGUUUCUCGAUCAAGUGAAUGAAUUUUUCUGUCUCAAAGAAAGUAUGCUUUAGAUCUUUUACAGGAGACUGGAAUGUCGAGAUGUCAACUUAUUGAUACACCAAUAGAAGAAGGUUUGAAAUUGUGUGUUGAGCUUAAUCAAAUAUCAACCAAUAAGGGAAGAUACUAAAGACUUGUGGGGAAAUUAAUGUACUUAGCUCAUACAAGACCAAAUUUUGCUUAUGCAUUGAGUGUAGUAAGUCAAUACAUGCAUAAUCCUGGAGAGCAACAUAUGAAUGCAGUUAUGCGUAUUUUAAGGUAUUUGAAGAAUGCUCCUGGAAAGGGAAUUUUGUUCACUAAAAAUGUUGAUCAUUAGAGUAUAGAAGUAUAUACUGAUAUUGAUUGGGCUGGUGUAGUGGAUGAUAGGCGAUCUACAUCUGGUUACUUUACCUUUGUAGGUGGUAAUCUUGUGACAUGGAAAAGUAAGAAGUAGAAUGUCGUCGCUCAUUCAAGUGCAAAAGCGAAAUUUAGGGGUAUGGCUCUAGGACUUUGUGAGGCAUUAUGGCUAAAACUCCUCUUAUAGGAUUUAGGUUACCUAUCUAGGCAACCAAUCCAAUUGUUUUGUGACAAUAAAGCCGCAUGUGAUAUUGCUGAUAAUCUAGUACAACAUGAUCGUACAAAGCAUGUCGAGGUGGACAAAUUCUUCAUUAAGGAGAAGUUGGAUGAUAAGAUUGUGGAAUUGCCUAAGAUUCGAUCAGAAAAUCAAUUGGUCGAUAUCCUCACCAAAGCUGCAGUCUCAAGUCGAGUGUUCUAAAAAAUUUUAGACAAGUUGGGCAUGUGUGAUGCACCAACUUGAGGGAGAGUGUUGAGAUAUUAGAAAUGUUUAGAUAUUAUGAAAGUUGAGAUAUUAGAAAUGUUGAGAUAUUAGGAUAUUAGUUGUUCUUUCCUUGUAUCAUUUUUUCUCAUUCUUAGAAUGGUGAUUACCUUCUAUAUAUACUCUGUACAUGAACGAAUGAAAUAAUCAAUGAAAAACUACCAUUCAUCAAUUUGAAGAAUUUUAGCAUUUUUUAAAUAAAUAAUAAAUAAAAACACCAUCUUUAAAGGCACCUCCAUUUUAGGUAGGUGCCCACUGAUAAUCACUUACAUGUUGAUUGGGCACUUGCAUGCUUAGGACGGUAUCUAGGAACACGUGUGAUGAGUGGCUCCAGAAUUAAAUGGAAAAUUCUAACGUAUCAAAAGGUGUAUCAUAUCAAAGUGUGGGGUGAGAAAUUAUUUGAGUUUAUAGGAAAAAAAAAUGGAUAGAAAGGAAUAUGAUAUAGAUUUUCUCAAGUUUUUCUUCAAUAUGGUUUUGUCCGAUCCAAGUCUGAUUAUUCUUUGUUUAUCAAAGGAUCUUGAUCUUUUUUGUUGCUUUAUUGGUUUAUGUGGAUGAUAUCAUCAUCACUGAUCCAAACACUCAACUGAUCCAGUUUUUGAAAACGUUUCUUCAUACUCAGUUUAAGCUUAAGGAGUUGGGAUGUUUGAAAUUGUUCAAUCUACCACAGGUAUUGUGUUAUCUCAAAGGCAUUACACGCUUCAACUCCUUGAAGGUGUAGGGACCCCUUCUCUGAUGACACGUGGCACGCACCUCUAUCCGGAUCGACCCUGGCCGUACCCCCCCAAGAGGACACGUGGCGCACACCUCUAUCCGGGUCCCCCAGGGAGGAGCACACGACACUCGCAAGCAUCAUGCCCGGACGGCAAUAUAUCCUACCCGGAUAUAUUGUCCAGAUCAUUGACUAUAGCGAGCAUGCCCUGCUGAGUCAUCCUCGAUAGCCUGCCACCACCCACGUUCCGCCACCUGCAGGGCGAAAGGACAGGAGCGAUGACAAGUCGCCUCCCACGAUCUCUGACAGCCGCCUGCAGGGUGAUGAUGACCCUGCCACCACCUUGAGGGCAUCAUGACGAGCCAAAAAGUCUUCCCACCAUUAAAGAGGGAAGUAGAGCUUCUGACACUAUAUAAAAGGGUCUUCACACAAGGAAGAAAGUAAGCUUGCUAUCCCUGAGAAGAGGCCGACAGCUUAAUCUCUAGAGCCAUGGCUAACAAAAUCAUCGGAGGGUGUGUCCGGACAUCCUGUUCGGACAUCUUUUGCAGGGACAACUGAGCUAGAACUCAAUCUUGGUUGACAGCGUGCGUCCACUUAGCAGCAACGUGGAUCCCUGGGACGCAAGACCUCAACAGAAGGUACUGGGUAUCUUACUUGUAAGCUGACAUCUGCUCCUAUGGAUCCUAAGGUUCAGCUCAGUGCUCAACCUCGGUUACCUCACUUGUAAGCUGUUCAUCACCUUUUUAAGUCCACUCUAGAUCAGGGCCUUUUCUUCUCUUCCUCAUCUUCUCUUCAGUUGAAAGCUUUUUUCAGAUACUAAUUGGGGCUCUUAUUUAAAUACCAAAAAAUCUAUCAUUAGUUUCUUUAUCUUUAUUGGUGAUUUUUUGGUCUAUUGGAAAGCUAAGAAGCAAACCACAAUUUCUUGAUCCUUUGUAGAGGUCGAGUAUAGAACUUUACCUUCUACUACUAGUGAAUUGGUCUGACCACACCAAUUGCUGAAGGACUUUGAAGUUGUUAUUUCCUCUCUUGCACUUUUGUUUUGUGAUAAUCAAACUGUCAUUUAUCUUGCUUCUAAUCCUCUUUUUCAUAGAAGGACCAAACAUAUCAAGAUGGAUUGUCAUUUUGUUCGUGAUAAAGUUGUUUUAUUUGCUUAUUAAAUUGUUUUUCUAAAUAAAAAAUAGAAUAAUGUUAAACUUUUAUAUUUAACCACAAAAAAAAUAGUUAUUGAAUUUUAUUUUUGAGAAUGUUAUAUUAAAAUUAUUUUUAUAAAAAAUAAUAUAUAUAUUUUAAUUUUUUUAUUGGGCAUAUAUAUCCCGAGAAUCUCAAGCAAAAGAUGUUCAAGUAAUUUUAUUUGAUCUCCUAUGUCCAAACAAAAGUAAAGAAGAAGAGUUUUUACGCAUGGGAUAGACUGAACUUGUCAGGAGAGUUUACGAAGUCCAAAUAAGAAAAAGAUAUUUAACCAUUCUCAAUGAUGUUUGGACUAAAAAUGCUUGGGAAAGCCUAAGGUGGUGUUUGUUUUUUUACUUAAUUCUAAAUAGAAUCUUAAUACUUAAUAGUAUUAAAUAUUAGGUUGUUUGUUUUUGUAGUAUUUUAUUUCUAUUAAGUAUUAAAAAGUAAAAAAAAACCAUGAUAUUUUUUCUAUUUAGAAAAAGCCACAUAUUUUGGCUUUUUCUAUUUAGUAAAAAGUUUAUAAUAAGUCAUGAAAAAGUAAAAAAACAAAUAACCUAAAUUCUAAAACUAAAUGAUUUUUAGCAAAAAGCCAAAAAAACAAACACCACCUAAGACUUGCAUUCUUAUGGGAACAAGGAGGUUCCAAAAUACUGCUCACCACACGGAAUAAAAGUGUAGCCAUGCAUGCAGAUACAAAAGGCUUUAUUUAAGAAACUGUGUGGCCAUGUAUCAUGUAUGCAAAUACAAAAGACUUCAUUUAUGAACCUCAGUGCUCGACUCUUGAAAUGAGUUUGGAGCUGCUCAAGAAAGCAAUAUUUCUAAGAGGCAGUCCAGGUAAUUCCUCAUCCAUCCAUCUUUUAACUUCAUUACUGGUAUGUAACUUGAGUCACUCCGCUCUCUAUAUAAAUUGAGCUAUAUUCCAUUGUUAAUUUUUAUGUGACAUAAGGCUUCCAUUGAAUUUCAAUUGUUUAGACAAUUAAUAUCAGCUAGUUUGGUCUUUCUUUGAUUUUCAGAUUUUACACGGGAAAGUCUAAAAAAGCAAAUUGUCACGGACUUAGGUUUCUCCUAAACUCACAUGUAAUGUUUAAACAAUUCAAGACAUUUGAUGUUGUUAAGUCAGUCUUCUUGUCGUACUUAACUUUUUAGGAUAAGUUAGGCACACGACUUGAAAUUUAAGAAAACCAAAGGCAACACUUAAACUAAAGGAAACUUGUAUUACACAAAUGAAUGCUUACAAUGACUAGAUGCUCCCACUUGUUUGGUACCUUGAUCAAAUGAGACCUAUUUAUUGACACUUUAAGAAUUCUUUAAAAUCUUGAAGGUUCCUUACAAAUCAAGAAUUCUUUAGAACAUCCUACACAAGUCCUAUGCAUAAGUAUUUACAAAAAAUAUUUGAAACUCUCCGGCUCCAUAUUCUUCUCUUGUCUUCUAGCUUAGUGUAGAGAUGCGUGAAUAUAUAUAUAUAAAAAGAUUCCUUAUUUUUCAAUCGAGCCACCUAAGCUUCAAUUAGAUGCUUUAUGUAAAAUUAUUUGUAUAUGCACUACAUGAAUGUAAAAAGGUUGGAUCUCAUAUAAAUUUUCCUGUCUUCUAGUUUUAAUUUGAUAAAAUUAAAAUGGUAAUAAAACUUCAAUUGAACUAAAUUUGUGGACAAAUACUUUACAAUAAAAUUAUUUAAUAAUAACUAUUAAGUACACAAGUGUAUUUAAAUACCACUUAUUUAAAUAGUAAGUUAUUAUUGGUGUAUUUAAAUACUCCAAGUGUAUUUAAAUUUUCUUCUCAUCAGUUGAAAGCUUUUUUCAGAUACUAAUUGGGGCUCUUAUUUAAAUACCAAAAAAUCUAUCACUAGUUUCUUUAUCUUUAUUGGUGAUUUUUUGGUCAAUUGGAAAACUAAGAAGCAAACCACAAUUUCUUGAUCCUCUGCAGAGGUCGAGUAUAGAGCUUUACCUUCUACUACUAGUGAAUUGGUCUGACUACACCAAUUGCUAAAGGACUUUGAAGUUGUUAUUUCCUCUCUUGCACUUCUGUUUUGUGAUAAUCAAACUGUCAUUUAUCUUGCUUCUAAUCCUCUUUUUCAUGAGAGGACCAAACAUAUCAAAAUGGAUUGUCAUUUUGUUCGUGAUGAAGUUGCUAAUGGUUUCAUUAAACUAAUGCCUCUUCGCUCUCAACAUCAACUAACUGAUAUUGGAAUUCGGUGGCUACACAUUAGUUAGUGGGGGCUGAUUUCAUGCAAGUUGUUGAUGUGUAAAAACUGAGAAUUUGUGGAUGGGUUUUGUAGAGAAUUUAUAAUAUAAGUGGCUAGGUAAUGAGGCAUGGUGGCUGAAUUUUUUUGUGGAGAAAAUCAUAGAGAUUCUUUAAGAUUUAGACAGGAAGAUUGAGGGGUUGGUGCACAGCCAUAGGAGUUUUUUUUAGAGAUUGGGAAGAUACGGAUUGGUUUUGGGAAGGUUUGAAGAGACCCACGACAUUGAAAAUUUCUUUAAAAACUUUUAGAUUUUUUGGAUAGAAUGCGAAAGGAGAUGUAUAUGGCUGCAAUAGGGGACUUUUGGGAAGGAGUAUCACGACACAUAUUUUGUGGAGGAGGUUUCUCUUAGAUUGGAAGGCAUGUGGGCUGACAUAUUCUGAGAAGGAAAGAUUUACACGGCCAUGGAGAGUUUUUUUCUGGAAAGGUGGGCGGCAUUAAGAGUCGUCCGGGAUAUUUUUAGGAGACGUGGGCUGGAUAUAAAAUGGCUUUGUGCUUAAAAUAUAAACAAAUUUCAAAAUAAGCCUUGAAGUUGGCCCAAUGGUUUUGGACUAAGUUUAAACAAAUUCAACCAAAUGGACCCAAAAGGUUUGAUAUAAUUUUGCUUUUGAACAAACCAACCGUAUUGAUUCGAUCCAAUUUUCUUUCAUAAAGUGAUUGAACCGACUUUUUUAUAACUUUAAUAUUAAAACAUUCCUAAUUUUCCUAACUUCAUCAUUUAAUCAUCCAAGUGUACCAUCCAUGAUUUGCCAUUUUUCCUCUACUUUCUAUACAUUUGUUGACGUGGAUUGAUCCCCUUUGCUAAAAAUUUGAACUGUCGGCAACGGCAGAUUAUCAUAAUCCUCUUGGGCCAUCGCAUCUUCAUUACCUCCCAUAUUUAUUCCUUUAAAUAAGAAUAAUUAUCCCAUUACAAUCACAUUGUGCCAUAAAUCAUUCCUAUUUUGUCUUCAACUUAAGCGUCCAUAUCAUGUAGAUAUUCCAUGUCACCUACCACUUUCCCAUCUGUCAUAUUGGACUGAAUUAAUUACCCGAUUGUACCCUCUAAAUCAUACGUGGAAGUGUAAAAUAACACAAAAAAGAAAUUAAAUUGAUUUUAGAGUCUGUUUUGAUUAGAAUGUUGCACGUCUUGAAGUUCAUGUGCUUCAAAAUUUUAAUUUCAUGAAAGUGACAAAAAAGAGAGAUAGAAACCAAAAGGAAAAAUCAAGGAAGAAAGCAAUACCACCAUAUAAACAUGGUACUCAUUUUAUUAUAAUUACCACACCAUAUUUAAACACAAGGCGCCUAGUAUAAGGAUUUCCUCGAGGCUUCCCCACUUCACAGACGUAAAAUGGGAUCACAGAUGUCAUCCCGCCCUUAGUAGCCUCAGCAAAAGUUAAAGGAUAAAAAAAAAAAAAAAACAUUAGCACAAACUCUAGAUUACAAUAAUAUUAGAGCACCAUAAGCACCAGCUCCGGCCCAUAUGAUCAGUGGUGAUGGUGGGGUGGUCCGGGUUUGUGAGGCUCCGGAGGCCCGUGAGGCCCCGGAGGUCCGUGAGGCCCCGGAGGUCCGUGAGGCCCCGGAGGCCCGUGAGGCUCCGGAGGUCCGUGAGGCCCCGGAGGUCCGUGAGGCCCCGGAGGCCCGUGAGGCCCCGGAGGCCCGUGAGGCUCCGGAGGUCCGUGAGGCCCCGGGGGGCCAGGAGGUGGUGGAUGGGGCUGUGGGUGAGGGUGGCCGUGGGGACCUGGCGGUGGUGGGUUAUUCAUCUCUCUUCCUCUUUACCUUCCUUCUUGUUCUUCUUGUUCUUCUUGGUUGCUGCGGCGAAUGGUACGAGGGGCGCUUGCGAAUUUAUAGUGGCAAACGGUGGGUGGGAAUCUCUUCGCCCAUUGGUAAGUUCAAAACUACAAGUCAACAAUGUGGUAGCUGUGUCUACCUAGAAUUUAAUAGAAUCAUCCGGAUGAAACUGGUUUUCUAUUCUUUUGGCUUUUGUUUUUUCUUCAAUUUAAUGUUAUUUUGCUUUGAAUUUAGUCAAUUUACUAACAGAACCGUCCACGUACAAAUCCUAUCUCCUCGUCUUCCUCCCUCUGUUCGACACCUGUCUCUCCAUUUCUCAUGUCACAUCCCACUAUUGAUAAUGACAACCAAUAUAGAACAAAGACGUUGACCUAAAAUCAAUCCAGACAGGCUGGCCCAAGCCCAGAGUUGGGUUGGUUUUGGGCCGAACAUAGAGUCCACGCCAAGCCAGGUGAAGUUCCUUGAACUUUCGUUGGAACAAGCGUCGGUGAGCCCAUUACUUCGAUUCCUGGAUUAGAAUAAAGCGACUUAUCUUCAGUGAAAAAGGUCAAUCCAAUGACUACCAUACCUUUCCAGCUUCACAGCCAUUGCGAUCAGUUCCGCGUGGGAUGAAGUUACUUUGCCUCUAAUUAACAUUUAUAAAUUAAUAGUAACUUUUAAUAAAUUAAUUAAGAACAUUUGGAGUUUAACAUCAAAAUCACUAUAGUUUUCUUCCUUCCCAAGUAAAAGAAAAAAAAAAAGAAAAAAAAAAGGGCAAGAAGUGGCAAUGACAAGUAACAGCCCUUUCAAACAGGGAACAUGUUGGGAACCGACGUGGCACCCAAAUUGGGUGUCAAGGGCAAUGGGGCAUGAGGAUUUCAAACUAAACGUUUGGGUUUCAAAAUUGAAACGAUGGGCACUUGGGUGCCUCCAUUUUUAGGGCACCUGACACACGUGGCGCAUGAACCGGGCCUCAAAAAGUUCAAAAUGGCGUGGGCGAGGGGGGUCUGAACGAGGACAGCAGGCCCUAUUUUUGUUUUCCAGUAAUGCCCCCAAAAUUGUCUCAAAUAAUUGAGAGAUGAGUCGUGGAGAAAGAGAGAAAAGGGUCGCCCUCUGAAUUGGUUAUGUUGCCAUUAUCAUCAUUUCUCAUCUUCCCCUGAAACCAAACACACCGCUCCUUCUCUCUCCAUCUCUAAACAGGGGUCGCACUCCCAAAUCCCAUGGGCUCCAGCAGCAGUCGUCUGGGUUCGCGUUCUUCUCGGCCACGACUCAACCGCAGGCUCUCCUCUCUUAUCUGCGGUGGCUCCACUUCUCGAGCUCAGCCCGAGGUAUCAUCGCGAUUGUCUUUAUCAAGAAUAUUCAGUUUCGAACCCUAGAUUACCUAUUGCUUGUUUCUUUGUUAUUAUUUGCGGUGGUUUCUGUUCGAAUUUAUCGACUUCUUGUUAAAUCCGUCGAGUAAUUUCAAUUUCCAAUCAUGUGAUAUAUUUGUUUCUGUGUGAUAUGAAAAUUGGUUAAUCGAUGCACAAGAUCGGUCAAGUUUCGGGUCAAAUUUGGGAUUAAUUAUACGAUUUAUUGUCUCGAACUUUUAUACGUUUUAUAUAUAUUGCUUUUUGAAGGGUUGAAUUUAUGCAAUACUUAUUUUGUUGAGUCAUUUGAAUAAUUAAUCUUCCUGAUUAGAAGAUUUUUAUUUUAUUUUUCCGAUUUAUUUUGGGAUGUAGGUGUUUAGUUGUUCCAUUGGAAAUGAAUGAUUUGAGUCAUUUGACUAUUUUUAAAUGUCAGAUGGAGGUACUCAUCCAGUCACCAAGAAUGGGUUCUUUUAUUAUUAAUUUGUGGUGUCUAAAAUCAACGAAAGUAGUUAGUUUUAGGGUGUCACGAAAUGCUCCCAUUUUGAAGUUUUCCUAGAAUUUUUGUUUUCUGGGUUUGUUGAAUGAUCUAUAAUCUUUUUCCAGUAUUUAUUUUUUGGAAUAUUGAAAUCAAAUAUGAUAAUUCUGUUAUCAGUUUUUCUUGAAUAGUGGUUACCUUCUUUAAUUGAUCCAAAUUCUUGAGUUUUAAAUGGGACUUCUAGGUCUAUUUGAAUCUUGGAAAGAAUGAGAGAAAGGGAGGAAAAAAUUUGGAAAAGUAGCCUAAGAAAGGAAACCUUUUUCUAAAAUAUAUAUCCAUGAUUGUCCCUUUGUUUCCCUCAUUGUUUUCAAGAUUCAAAUGUCUGUCUUAAGGCUUUCUUUGGUUAUUGGGAGGAAAGAAUGAAGAAGAAAGUGCCAAAAAAAAUGCAAAGAAAGUCAUUUGUAAUCAUUUUCCUUUUGGUUUCCCUUUCCCUCAUUAUUUCUUAGAAACAAAUGGAAGGUAAGGGAAACUUGGGUUACUAAUUUAAUUAACUCUUGUACAAGUGGGCCAAGAUGAAGAUAUUUGUAAGAAGCUUUGAGUAAAGUAGACAAAAGAAACUAGACUGAUUUUAUUGUUUAUUGGACUCCAGAAUCAACCGUUUGAUCUCUGUGAAGUUUUGUUGGCGACCCAUUUUUGGAAGGAUACCUGGCAACUUCCUUUGGUUUCCAUGUGACAUGAUCCAAAAAGGGGAAAUAGAGAUGGACACCUGGCAACUCCCUUUGGUUUCCGCUUGACAUGAUCCUAAAACAGCAAAAAGAUUCACCAGGGGUUUCACUUGCCAAUUCCAGAUAGAUUGUUCGCAAAGUAGGCCCAUGCAGGGGGCUGCUGGACAUCUCAUCUGUAUAGUCACAUGCCUUGGUAACUCAGCAUCUUCCUUGACCACAGUACUGAAGCACCCUAUGAUUAAUUCAGGUUAGGAUGAAGCUUAUGCUAUGGCUCAUUGUACUCAAGUCCUGCAAAAUGGACUGAGGUUCUUUUAGUGUGCUAUCCAUGAACAUCAUAGUGCACGCAUGGGCUAGGCCUUGGGGGGAUUGUUAGGCGUAAGAUCUGGAGGCUGGAGUUAUGGACGUCCAUGGUGUAAGAUACUUUCCAAGUUGAGCCAUGUCGGAAUAAGUUAGAUUUACCCGUUAAAGCGUUUGUGCUCUCUGCAUCAAAGAUAAUUGCCGUGCAAGAACCAGGCAGCUUAUUAGAAUAGUGUGCAAGUCUAUUUCAUGUGAUUGGUUCGUAAAUCGGCUUCUGUGUCUCAUAUUAUCAUCCUCUUGUAUACUUUGGGAUGCUGUUUUGACGUAUUUUUAUAUAUAUAUAUAUAUAUAUAUAUAUACUUUCUGGUCUUACCUAUCAAAAAAAAAUCCAGUUGAGGCUUUUGAUUAAUGAUGAAUGCAGUUUGUGUGGUACUUUGGCCUGAUUCUUGCAGAUUAGCAGGAGUAGAUUGUUUAUUGAUGGUUUGAAAUUUGGCUUUUCCAUGUAAUCAUUCUGUUCUGUUUAACCUGUUUAUGGGGCUUUUGAAGCAAACAUUGAAAUACUUAUGUUAUUUUGUCCAUUUGGCUUAGCGGAUAGUAUUUCUAGAACAAGAGGAAUGAGGACAAAGUGAAUAUGCUAGUAUAUUUCAGCAAGUUUAGUCCGUGGAGGUUUUGGUUGGUGUCUAUUUUGUUAAUUAAGAUCACUUUGAUCAAGAGCCCAGACAAGCACUGGGAUCACAAGAAAGCUUGAAGAAAACCAUAAUAAUAGGCACCAAAAAAUGUGUGCAACAUGGGUAGAACUACUUUCCUUAUUUUCAGUCCAUUAUGCAUCUGGCAAAGAAGGCCCUUCAUUUAUUUUAAUUUUUCUUUUUUAAAAUGUAAUGAGAUGAAGUUGUUGAUUAUUUUCUAGUACGGAAAAUGGUUAAAUGGAUCAUCCAUACUGCUCAACUGUGUUGUCCAAUUCCAUGAAAGAAUCACAGGACUUGGAAGAAUCCCUUCCCCAUGAGUCGAAAGAGUGCUAAAAAGAGUUCAUAUUAGUUAAGCAGUAAUGCUCAAUGUUGCUUUGUAUUAUUUAUUUCUCUUUUAUUUUUGGUUGUGACCUGACCUAAUAUAUUUAUCAGAUUAUUUUCAUUUCUUGUGACGAAACAUAGUGGAUUGUCUCUAUGUUGGGACCUUCUUUCUUGGUCUGAUAAAAAAUGAAACUUUUAGAAUUGCCCUUUUGGUAUGGUAAUGCACUCACUCUUUGUAGGGCUUGGUGGUGUCAGUUUGAAGUCAAGGGUUUUUCUUAUGAAUUGACAUUCUUAUUCUAUGGCUAUGCACCAAAAAAGAAGAAAAAGUUACACUUAACUUCUGAAACAAAAAUAAAAUAAAAUCAAUAAAACUAUGGUACAUUAGGUUUUGUUGAUUUUCCUUUACAGGUGUGGACUUUUUUUUUUUUCCUUUUUUAAUGGUAAUGAAAUUUCUUUUCAGUCAUUAAUUACAGAAUCUUUUUGGGAAGCCUUUCAUAUCUAUGCUUCAAUAGAUGAAUUUCUGAGUAGACAAAAUUGCUAAAUUAACCAAUAAGCAAGCUGUUUCUUUCUUUCUUCUUCUCUUUCUUUUUCUUCUUUUUUAAUUUCACCAAGUUGCCUCCAUAAGUAGAUGUAAGAAAGAGUGUCUAUAGACCUUGGAUCUUGGUGUGGGUAUUGUGUUGAGCUCAUCAUUGAAGUAUUAGAUUUGUUACUUUCAAUUAGUUAAUUAAUAGAUUAAUUAAUUUCUUGUUUUUGAUCUUCAUUUUUAUUUGUUUGUUUCUGUUCUGUGUUAAUUAGUUCUUAUCCUAUAUUUGGGAUGAGUUCUUAUUUGAGAUGCUUGUGUUACAGAUUGAUCACCUUCUUUCAUCCUUUUGGUAAAACUUUGGUUGUAUCCACUGGCAGGCUCACUUCUUGAAGAAGUAACAGAAUCAUAAAUUUAUGGCUGCCAAACAUUUCAAUGCCAACAUAAUUUGUGCCUUUGAUAGGUAAAUAAGAGAUUGUAUUAGAAAUGCCUAGAAGCGGCGAAAAAUUUGGGCCUUUGACUGUGUUGGUAUGAAGAUGAAAAAUUAUUUAGUAAAAAAAUUUAUGUGGUCAAAGUUUUGAUGCUUAUAACUUGAUGAUCUUUCAUCUUCAAAGGUUGGAAGGAUAAGUUCUAUUGACCAGAUUUUUAUCUUUAUCUUUUAGUUCUAAUUUUAAUCUUUGAUAGGCAAGUCAUGCACUGUUGUCAAACAAAAAGUUCUGAACAAAAAAAAAAAAAAAAUCAGGCAUACAGGUCCUUCAGUUAACUGGAAUAAAUUUGAACCUGGCUUACUGUUCACUAUUGGGUGAAGUGUUUAUGAGUUUAAUGGCUCCCCAAAAUUUUUUUAUGGGGUCAUUACUCAGUCUUUAUACCUUGAACUUGGUGAUAUCAAAAGAGAGUGAUUGGAUUUUAGCAAAGGAAACUGACAUGAUGACAUUAUUUUCCUGAAGAUUGAAGAUAAUGAGUUUAAUGGCUCCCCAAAAAUUUGUAUAUGGGGUCAUUACUCGGUCUUUAUACCUUGAACUUGGUGAUAUCAAAAUAGAGUGAUUGAAUUUUAGCAAAAGAAACUGACAUGAUGACAUUAUUUUCCUGAAGAUUGAAGAUUGUCCAGCUGAAUUACUGGUGAAUGCUAUAGAACACAAUGAUCCUGUGACUGUCGAACAAAGCUCAACAAAGGCAUCCCAUUUGGCCUCCAGUGCUGGGACUGCAUUUACCAGCACCAGAACUGAAACAGGAACUUCAUCUGAGAGCAGUAGCGCAGCAAGGGAAGAUACUUCUUUUAUCAAUGAUUUAAGCAAUAUCGAAACAAGUAAUCGAGGGAAAUGCUUAUCUGAAAGUAAGGAAUUGAUUCCUCCUCAUCUGGUAAGUGAUGAACCUAGUCAAGUUGAUCCUUAUUGGGAGAGAAGUAGUAAUAUAGCUAGUGCUUCAUUUAAGGAUCUGCAUCCUUUGGACCCUGUCUCUGCAAAUGCAAGGGCUAACAUGGGUGCUGUAAAUGUUCAUAACUCAAUGGACAAGGAUAGGUCUAACAGUGGUGCAGGGGUCAUACAUUCAAGCAGUUCGCAUGCUCCAGAGCAUAGAGCUUCAUAUUCAGAUGGGGCAUCUGCUGAAAAUCAUGUGAGCGGAGUAUCAGCCAUUGAUAAUUCUAGUUCUGUUUCUGUUCCUGCUGUCACUGACUCACCAGUGACUUUGCACUCACAAGGAGAUGAAUCCAUUCAAGAGGCGAUACCUUCAGGUCUGGGAAUUGUGGUCUCCGAUCGGGCUGAUAGGGAGCGAGGUCGGAGAGAUGGAAGUGUACUUCAUGUUGAUGUGGUGAGCAUCUCUUCCAACAUUUUGUCUAGUACCACUGCUGAAGUAAGUAACCGUGAGGCAAGAAGGAAUAGUAGAAGACUGUUCUGGGAUGCCUUUUCAAGACGCAGUUCUCGAAGGCAUAGUGAUUCCCCAACCAUUGUCUUCUCAACAGAUGAUACUGAUGACCUAGGAUCUCAUGACAGAUGGCUCCUUGAUUUCAGUGGUGAUUUCUUUGAAGAUGGGGUUGGAGGUGACUCUGGCUACCUGGGUAGUAGAAUCCACAGCAUGAAUGAGCGAAGGUGGCACUCAAGAUCGGAGGUGGUUUUUUAUACUAUGAAGCAGCUCUUUUAUCAACACUUUCAAUAGUUUUCUUUUGAAAUCAUCUUGCAUCUCAUAAUCAGAAUUAUGUGGAAUUUUGUUGUAUGCAUGCUUUGUGAAAAAAUGUGCAGUUCAUUUCAUUUUGACUUCCUUAGUUAUAUGCACAUUACCAAUGUGAAUAGGCGCUAUUUCCCAUUGUGAUUAUAUUUCAAUUUUGGUUUAAUUUUCUUCAUAUUCUUUUUGAUUGUCCACCUAGGUAUUCUAGUGUGGGCAGUGGAAGCUAUAUCUGGAGGGGUUUAACUUUCUUUUCUUGCUCUUGGGUAAUUUUUAUAAACUCAUCCCACAAGAAUCUUUGCAGAUAUGGGAAAGGCUUCGUGGUGGGCUUGAUGAGAGUAGUCGGCGAACUACUACUUGUCCAACAGGCCUCCACCCUGAUGGUAUGUGCUCCUGCGAUUCCUUCUUGAUGGCUGAAGAAUCUAGCACUCGAGCAAGCAUCUCCCGAAUAGUCAUGCUAGCUGAAGCCUUAUUUGAGGUAGUUUUCUCUUAACCUGGCAUGGUUUUAUAUGGUUUCUCUCACUUUUGUUGUGCUCCUUUUUCUUGGCUAGUUUUCCUUUCAGUAUUUGUUUAAUUACUAACUUUUAUAUUAAACAUAAUGUUUCUUUUUUGUUAAGCUAUUUUUUUUUGUACUCCCUGUAAAUGAACUUUGUCCCUGGUAAUAGUCCUAGUGACUUUUACUUCAGUAUCAAUAUAAAAAGUUAAAAAAAGCAUUGAAGAUAUCAGCAUGAGAGUUAGCUUGGGAAUGAUCCUUUACUUUUUUGUUAUAUUUAGCCUUGAUUAGGAUAGAAUCUGCAUGUCUUUGAAAGGCUGCCCUUUGGUUUUUUUAGAUAAUUGAUUUCAGCACCUUAUCUAUUGUCUCCAUUUGUGUUACUGUGUUUUGACCCAUUGUUGAAGAAGCGUGCAACGAGUUGACUGUAGCCAUUAGUUUGGUGCUAGCAUUUUCUUGCCAGAAUUACUGAUUUGGGGACUUAGGUUUAUACUUUUAUACUGGAUCUUGUAGGAACUUUUAUCAGGCUGUGCAGAAUCAUUAGGCUGUGUGCAAUAUGCAACAUUUGAAGUUCUAUAUAUGGUUAUCUGACGAUUAUUUCAAAACAGAUAGUGGAUUAAUCCAGUACUGGUACUCCAUUUUUUAUUGAAAAACUGGGAUUUCCACCAGAAUGGAAUUAAUUACAUUGUAUUGGAUUUCUUUUAUCUCUUUCUGCUACUUGCGUAUGUCUUGGGUUAUCACUUUCUUGUUUUAGCCUAUUGAGUUUGAUAUAGUACAGGCAAGUAGACCUAAUCAACUGGAUGUCAAUGAAACCUGCCUUGACUAUAACUGAGGUUUUUUUUUUUUUUUUGGGUGGUUUAGCUUUAGGCUUCAUAGUUAGGUGAUAUUUCCAUUGCUGCAUUUGUGAUUGCUUGCUCUUCUAGAAUAUAGGCAAGGUUUUUCAUUGAAACACUCCUUAAAUGCUUGGUGAAUUUACCACUGAAAUGAGUAGUAACAUAUGCAUGGAGAGGAUAAACUGAUUUCUCUUGGCCGUGGUAUAUGACUGGCUCUCAUUGAAAUGUUUAGAAUACUGGUGAGCUAACAGAUGGGAGCAUUGACUGAUGUUAGAUAUUUCUUGAUUGCAGAGGCUAUUUUGACAUUUUGUUAUGAGCAUGGAAAAGAAAGUUUCCUCCUCAAUCUAUUUGAAGUUAAAUUGCUGUUUUGGAUGUGCUGACCUGAAUUCUAUUUAUUUACCCUUUAUAAGAAAUACAGUUUCCAAUUGCUUUUUUAUCAUGUAUAUCUGCAAUAUUACGUUUGAUUUUUUGUUGAUGGAAGUUGUAAGAAUUUUUUUUGGUUCCUCCUGAUUUUCUCUGCCAUGAUAAUGAUGAAAUUAGGUUUACUACAUUCUUGUAGGCUGUCUCAAAGGAGAAUUUUUCAUUAUCUUAAGUAUUAUGUUUGAUAAAAAAUCUUAAGGCAGAGUUUGGCUCCUUAAAGCUGGGUAAUGAGGUAUAUUUUAAAUUUUUGAUAUGCAGGUCUUGGAUGAAAUUCACCGCCAACCUGUCUCACUGGCACUGUCUAUGGUAUCACUCCCUGCCCCAGAGUCGGUUGUUGACUCUUUUCCUCUCAAGAAUCACAAAAAGGCCGACACAGCUCAGAGUGGGGAGGAUGUGGCACAGUAAGUUUCUAAUUAUAUUUUGUACUAGGACAAGCAGAAUAUGAUUGAAAUAAGAUGAUAUUGAUGAAAUAAUGCUUGAAAAUUAUUCUUUCAAUUCUUUAUUUCCAAAAAAAAAAAAAAUGAAAGAAAGAAAAAGGAUUCUUGAGUUUAUAUAUCUUUGGCAUGAAAACCAUUUUGUUAUUGUUGCUAUUAUUUGAUAAGUGAAAUAUUUUGACAAAACAUGGAAAGCUAAUAAUUUACAGUUCAUUACUUUGUAUUUGAUUGUGAGUAACAAUACAUCCCUCAAUUAUAGAAUUUCAUGAUAUUACCACCUUAAUGUAACUGUCAUUGACAGGUGCUACAUUUGUCUGGCUGAGUAUGAGGAAGGUGAUAAAAUUAGAGUUCUUCCCUGCCACCAUGAGUAUCAUAUGUCAUGUGUUGAUAAAUGGCUCAAAGAAAUACAUGGGUAUUGUCAUUCCUGUCCAGUGCUCACUUGCCUUGCAUUUGUCCUUUUUUUUUUUCCUCUUCAAAUUUUACUAAUUAGGUUUUGCUUCACAGGGUGUGCCCACUAUGCCGCGGAGAUGUUCGUGAGGGCCUUACUGGUGGUUCUGUCUCAAACGGAGAGACCCCCUCUCUUUGAUAGCAUUGUACAUAUCCAUGUAAAUAGGGGCAAUGUGCUCUUUAAAUGUUGUAUUUACCUCCCUCAAAAGAUAUUUUUGUAUCUGAAUUUUAACCGUAUAUUUUCAAAAUUCCAUACUUGGUAGGAUCUUUGCCAUGUUUUGAUUCUGCAGAAUUAGCUUCCAAGGGAUCAACAGCCUUGGUCUCACCAAAACAUGCAUUGAUCUUAAUCACACAAGACUCACAGAAGUAAGAAACUGAGAACUAGGGUACCGGCAUGUUUAAAUUCUGAAUAUUAUUAAAUCGUCAAGCCAUUCAUCACAUUGAGAUGGUUUAUUCCUGCUAAAUGUGAAUGGCAUGAUUACUUUAAAUAGUCUCUUGACGUUAGGAUGGCAUCCCACACCUCAUGAACCUGAUUAAUUUAUGGUCAUUCUACAUUCCUAUUUGCUUUUCUGGUUCUUUUAGAGAUCAUGUGCCACUAGACUUAAGGUUACAGUGAGAGGUUUACAUGGCAGGAAAUGGGUGAUUGUUUGUUUGUUGGCGCACAUUGAGGGUGUGUUUGAUAUGCUGAACAAGAAGUUCAUUCUAUUCUUAUAUUGUUUGAAUGCAUAUGGGAAUGAAAUGUUGAAAUGAUAAUUUGUUUUCAUUAUUUAAAUGUUAAGUGAAAAGGGGAAUGAAAAUGAAAAAAAAAAUAUCAAUAAUAUCUAAACAUUUGGUUUAAAAUAAUUUUUAAUUUUUAAUUAAAAAAAUAUGAUAUUAUUAUAUAUGGUUAAAAUCAAUUCUUAUUUUCAUUUUAAAAAAAUCCUUGAGUGUGCGUGGGUGUUUUUUUCCCUAAAUGAUAAGAAUCUAUUGGGGCAUAUGAUUUAAAAAUAAAAUUAUUUUUAAAAAUUUAUAUUAUUAUUUGAUUGUUAUUUUUUAGAAAUAAUUUUUAAAAACAAAGUAAAAGAGAGAAUUGUUUCAUUUUUUUUUUCACUAAAGAAAAUGACCAUAAGUUUAAUAAAUUUAAUAAUUUUUAAAAAUAAUUUAAAACUAAAUAUAUAUAAUUGAUUAAUAAUGAAAAAAAUUAAAUUUAGUUUAUUUUUAUUUAAAAAAUAAAAUUAUUCUUUACUAAUUUUGAAUAAUUUUCUGUUAGCAAUUAUUAAUUUUAAAUUAUUAAUAUUCAUAUUUUAAUUUAUUUGUAACAAAAAAAUAUUUUCUAUUUUUAAUAAAAUUUGAAUUAAAUUUAGUUUACAUUAUAUAAAUUAAAUUUAAAUUUUAUGUUACAAAAUCAAAAUAAAAAAUUAUUUUUAAAAAUAACUCAUUUAAAAGAGUUCUUAAUUUUUAAAUUUAUGAAUAUAUUUUAAAAAUAACUUGCACAUGGAGAAUCAAAAUAAAAUACCUCCUACUCUAUUUUAUUUAGAAAAAAGAAUAAGACGUACAUUCCCACGAUGGUCGUUUCCCUACCAAACACACCCCGAAGUCUCACUGCACAUUCUGAGGGAAACAACCGGGAAUAGAACGGUCCAUCUACAAAUGUAAUAGGUGGAAUUCUACAUAAGUCGAAGAACAGAGUUCUUCAUUGUU